rnacentral:lncRNA from 1 species
UGGGUAUAUGACUAAAUAUCUCUUAUUUUUUAAACCUUUAAUUAUUAAUUCAAGCAUUUUCUAUUUCCUAAAAUAAUUUUAUUUGAUAAAAGUUCAGUAGUGGAAGUGAAGGUGGUGGUGAAAGAGAUAAAGGUGAAGGUGGCAGUGAUAGUGGAAGUGGUUGUGGGUGGUGAUGAAGCUAGAGGCGGUGGUUGUGGUAGUGAUGGUGGUGGAGAUGGUGGUUGUAGAGGUGAAAGUGGUAGCGGUGGCGGCGUGGUGGUGUAGGUGGAGGUGGAGGUGGAGGUGGUAGAGUUGCAUGUGGAGGUGGAUGUAGUGUCACUUAAAAACAAUUAUGAUGGUAUUUUGGGAAUUAAAAUAAUUCAUUAAAGACUUAUCUCUGCUUCUUUUGAAAGUAGCUUUGAAAAGCAACCAAGAGCUUACUUUUAAAAGCUGCUGUCAAAAGGCCACUACUUUAAAAAUAAUCGAGAUAUUUUAUUUUCACCAAACACCUUAAAUUGCUUAACUUUAAAGUGAAGCAGGUUUUUGGCAAUUAAAAGCAAUCCUAAACGAGGCCUUACACUUUCUUCUUUUUUUCUUUUUUUCUUUUUGUCAAAUGGUAAAAUAGGUGGGUUACGCGAGUUUAGGUUUUUGGAUUAAAUCCUUAGAAGUCAUUUUACAAAGGGAUAAAUUUGUCUUUAAAUUUUUUAAGAUUAGAUGGGUAAGAAAAUAUGACAGGUAAGUGAAAAUAGCAACACUCUUCUAAAAUUCUUAUAACUUUUUUUGUUUGUUUUAGAAUUUCGUAAGUGUCAAAAUCUUAUUUGCUUUGAGGAGAGUCAAACUUUACUCUUAUUUUUCUCUUGACUUAUCAUGAAAGUAAAUACUCUUUCCCCCACAAGAAUUAAUAUUAUAUAUGCCUAAAAAAUGUUUAGGUUCGUGACGAGCCUGUAAACUGAGGACAAAAGCUUUAUAGGGGAGAAUUGACAACAAAAAAAACUUUAGGGGAGAAUUGACCAAAAAAUAAAAACCUUUACAAAGGAAUAAAUUUGUCUUUAAAUUUUUUAAGAUUAGAUGGGUAAGGAAAUAUGACAGGUAAGUGGAAAUAGCAACAUUCUUCUAAAAUUCUUAUAACUUUUUUUUUUUUUGGUUUUUGAAUUUCGUAAGUGUCAAAAUCUUAUUUGCUUUGAGGAGAGUCAAACUUUACUCUUAUUUUUCUCUUGACUUAUCAUGAAAGUAAAUGCUCUUUCCCCCACAAGAAUUAUUAUAUAUGCCUAAAAAAUGUUUAGGUUCGUGACUAGCCUGUAAACUGAGGACAAAAGUUUUAUGAGGAGAAUUGACAACAAAAAUAACUUUAGGGGAGAAUUGACCAAAAAAUAAUAAUAAUAAUCUUUAGGAGUUGUUUGUUAUGCAUGACUGUCUUGGCAUGGACUAAGCUUAAAUACUGUCAUGGAUUGACUUGGCUUGGACUAAACUUAAUAAGGCUUGUCCAGCGUUUGGUAUAAUGCUGGACUAGGAUUGGGACUUGAAUAAAAAUAUGUUUAUUUAAUUAAUUAAAAAAAUUAAAAAACUAAUAAAAAUAAUUUUUUAUUUAACCCAAACCCACACUCACCCAAAACCAUCAACAAGCAGCCACUGGAUCUCUGCAAGGGAAGUGAGAGUUCCCCAAAAAUUAUUACCACUUUUUCUCUCCCUCUCUCUCAAUUUUGGUUCUUCCAUUCCAUGGCGAUUUCAGAUUCGCCGAGGCAUUACUGGCACUAGCACGAGCCCUCGCACGGACUCAUAUCCAUGGGAUUCGCUCGGCGAUUGGGUCCGAGCUCGACGACACUACAUUGUGUUCUGGAGUCGUUGUCGAUCAAGAACUCGGCUGAUUUGACGGAUAUGGGGAGUAGAAGGAUGAGCAUCCUCAAUUUUGAUUUCAAUAAGUGAAUGAUGAUGAUGAUGUUAAUGGUAAAGCCAGUGUGUUGAAUCGGAAUGGGGAUGAUGGUGAUUACAUGACUUGAAUUGAGUGGCUGAGUAUGAGCUAGCACAAAAUGCAAGGGAUUUUUUUUUUUAAAACUUCUCCUGAAAAUGCAUAGGAUUGUUCAAUCCUCUCUUUUUGCACGGGAUUAACUAACACCUUCUAAGGAGGUGUUUUUAGUGGGCCCCACAUUAAUAAUUCCUGCUUAGAAUUAGAAUUAGGUGAACUAAACGUGGGCCUAAUUUUAAUCUAAUCCAAUCCAAGCUUGAGAGGUGUACCGAACGAGGCCUUAGGGGAGAGUUCGUAUAUGGUGCAGGUUUCAUAGGUGAAAAUUGGUACUUAGGUGACGAGGGAUAAAUUUAAAAGAUAUUCAACCAAGAACGCAACAAACUUCACACACUUUAGACCUUGACCAAAUACUCUUAUGACUAGUCAACUGUUAUACAUGAAUUAUACCAAACAAUAAAAUACACAGAGCAUGCCAAGAUGUACCUGCAUGAAAUGACCCGCCCCGAAUUUCCCAAAACCAGAGGCGAAUCCUGUGGAAUUCUUGACAUCCCCCUGAUGUCGGGCUCACUUACUAAGGAUCGAGACUUUCUGCCGAAAUUUUGGCAGAGUCUCCCCUGUAAAUUGAACAUUUCCCAAAAUUACAACCUGCAUAAAACACAAUUUAGUAUUCCCAACGGGCAGCGUGCAUAAUAUAAUUUCAUGCUACCAAGCAUGCUAGCAAAUCAAUUCAUGCUUUAAACAAGGCAAACGAUAAAUUCAAAUAUAAAUUUAUGACUACUAAAUUUCAACAUACAACAUCUAACUUUUUCAAUUUCAACAUACGAGGUUUGAACCUCCUAACACAAUCACAUCUAUGUCCGCGGCUGCACCUAAUGACCUUAGGCUGCCUACGUAUCCUCACUGAGGGAUCAAGUCACACAUAGUUCUUCCAUAAAACCCAAUUCCACACAUAAGCAAUACCUUAUUUCAUUUCUCUGUAUUUCACAUAAUCUUCCCAUACGCCGGUACUACCAAUACCACGUAUGGGGCCUGUCAACACGCCGGAUAACCUACGCCACAUGCGACCAUACCAUACUAUCACAAUAUCUCCUCAUACGCCGGUACAACCAACGCCACGUAUGGGGUCUGUCUCAACGUCGGAUAACCUACGCCAAGCGAGACCUGCACAUCAUAUCACAUAUCUCCCCAUACGCCGAUACAACCAACGCCACGUAUGGGGUCUGUCGACACGCCGGAUAACCUACGCCACGUGCGACCUCAACAUAUUAUCACAAUAUCUCCCCAUACGCCGGUACAACCAACGCCACGUAUGGGGUCUGUCUCAACGCCGGAUAACCUACGCCACGCGAGACUUGCAUAUCAUAUCACAUAUCUCCCCAUAUGCCGGUACAACCAACGCCACGUAUGGGUUCUGUCGACACGCCGGAUAACCUACGCCACGUGCGACCUCAACAUAUUAUCACAUAAUCUCCCCAUAUGCCAAUACUACCAAUGCCACAUAUGGGGCCUGUCCGCACGCCGGAUAACCUACGCCACGUGGGACCUAACUUUCAUAGGGUGGUAUUUGUAGAGUAACUAAAAUCCUGGGAGGUGCCUAAGGUAGUGUGUAUAGCACUUCAAACUGACAUUCUAGACUUCUUUUUUACCUUUACAAACGUAUAUAAAUAUAUAAUUUACUUCUAAUAUUGUGUAAGCCUCAACAAUAGUGUAGCACCCGAUAAUCCCCCUAGAAAGGUGAGAUUACUCCGGGAGACUCACGGUCAACCAAGGGUUAAACUACCCUACCCCUGGUCAAACGGGCCUGCGGGGCCCAUGACCUCCCAAUUCCGAUCCGAAAGUUCCUAUGGGUUCUACAAGGUAUAGGACACUAGUCCUACAAGUUUGGUCCAGAUCGGACGGUCAGAUCGCUCACGAUCGCACAAUCUGACGAUUAAUAUAAAACAUAAACUUUAUAUUUAUAAAUCGGAACAUCCGGGGCUCCGAUUCACAAUCCGUGAAAUCUUACAUGAUCCUAGAAAUACCUAGAUUAACAUAUAUUAAAUUUAAGACCAUCCAACGGUCCUAACCUAUCGAACUCGGAUAACGCGCAAUAUGCGAUAUCCGUUCGAUAGCCAAACGACGUCCGAAUUGAGAUCCGCGAAAUCCUUCACACUCGUGACAACCUAAGGAUCUCAUCAAGACAUAGUGCGACUUCACUAUCCUCUCCCACGUGCCGCCACACGCGUCGGCAGCGUUGGGUGUCCAAAGCGAUUACGCAUCGCCGGAAAAUCUCAAAAUCACGGCUCCAAACUCCUACCCUAGGUAUACACCCUAUUUGGAGUCACUUUUGUUCUUGGACCUACCCCCAAAAACUGACCAGAAGUGGCCGGAAUCGCGAUCCCAAAAUCGGCCGAAUUUCAAUUCGAAAAUCGAAUUGCCUACACUAAGAAUCGAUCCAAUCCUACCCAACAGGCAGCUCGGGCAUGAAGAAGGGAUGAAUUUCCAUACCUUGAUCGCCAGAAAUGGCGGCUGGAGGAAGGAGAUCGGAGCCGGCGAAGUUCGAGCGAAAAUCGGGCGAAAAUCGCCUUUUUUCAGCGGCUGGAGCGGCGGCCAAUGUCGGGGGAGGGCCAGGUCGUGAUGCCGAGGCCGAGCCGGUCCUUUUGGCACCGGUCCCGUCCAAAGCCGCGGCCGGUGGCCGGAGAGACAGGAGAGAGAAAGAGACCGACGGGGAGAGAGAGAGAGAGCACGGGGGAGGGAGAGAGAGAGAGAGAGAGAAAAAAAAAUCUGAUUUUUAUAAAAAUCCCAUUUCGAAGUAAUUACGAUUGUGCCACUAGGUUUCUUUUGACCAUAUCUCUCUCGUUACAACUGCGAUUCGAGCCCACUACGUGUCUAUGAACUCGUCUCAGUACGACCUAUCCAAAAAUACUUGCCACUGCCCCAAACUCUCUCUGGAUAAGAAAAUGACCAAAAUGCCCUUAUCUCAAGGGUAAAUUUGUAAUUUCCCUUAAAUAAUUUAUAUAAGGGGUUUAAUUUGGAGUCGGGGUGUUACACUGCAAGCUUAGAGAAUUACUAGUGACAACCUAGGCACUCAGAAGGACCCAUCAAUUUAGGCAUCCCCUGUGCUAGCAACAACUAUGGUGAAAGUGUGUGAAGACAACAUAAUCAAGCAAACACCAAACAGCAGAAAAAGAUGACUAGUCAACCGCACAAAUUUAGAUGACUAGUCAACUAUCAAGAACACAAACCCAGAAAAUUUACAGAGAUGGAAACCAGAAAUUGUUCACCCAGAAACCCACCAUUGGGAAAAACUGGGGGUCAUCAACCGACCAGGCAAUCCACUAAGCAAAAAGAUUCUUACAAAGAACACUAGCAAGCUCAAGAAAUUCUUAGGUCUAUUUAGGAAGAUGAGCUAUACCUCCUUUGUGCAAUCUUCUUCUCCAACUUAGCAAAGCUUGAAGCUCAGUUCUUCAUGGCAAUGGCAGCUCCUUCUCCAGCUCUUUCAUCACAUGGCACUAGCUUGCAAGCUCUAACUCAGACAGAAAUGAAAUUUGGAUUCAUGGAGAAAAUGACAAUUUCUUCAAGAAACCAUACUCUCGAAGAAAUCAAUCUUGAAUCUGACCUAGAUAUAUAUGAUAGAGUGUUUGAUCUAGCAAGAGGAAGUUUUCAUAUUUCAAAUGCAGUUUUCAAAAAGAAAUCAUUUGGAAAACUCAAAGAUGAAAAAUAUGAAGGUUACUCUUGAAGAAGAAGAAGUGAAAGUUUGCUAUGAAACUUUCCAAAACUUGUCCCCCAAAGUGACGGCUGCCCAAAGAGGAAUUCUUUGGUAUUUACACACAAAAGUUCCUUAGGUCAGAAAGACACAUGGUAGCAGAGAGAGAAAGGAGAAUAUGACAAAAAAGUUAGUUAUCUAGCUGGAAAUCCUAUAGAGCAAGGAUGAUUAAUCAUACGAGAAACAGAUGACUAGUCAUCAUUUUAUGAAAUCAAUUUAAUGCAAUGUGAUGCAAUGCACAAUUUACCUUUGCCAAUUUGCUUCAACCUCUAUAGGAUAGUUGUUAGUUAAGAACACCUAGAGAAGCUAUUCUCAAUCUAAACUUGAGCUUGAUAAAUAACAAUAGAAAUUCUAUUACAAAGUUGUCAAGGAAAUCCAAAAGAAAAACUCAAAAUGCAUACAUUAACAAUAGGGCCAUAAGACUUCUGCUUAUGUUUUAUUUAGGUUUAUUCAGGAUGUAUGAUGCUUCACAUGUUAGUAUCUUAUUUUAUUUAUGAAUAUGUUUAUUGGGACUUACAAAUGGUCUAGAAAUUGGUUAGAAACCUAUGCAUAUUUUAGGGUUCUGGUUCAUAACCAAAUUAGAAUUCUUUUGAUAUUGUUCGCUUGAGGAUUGUUCAGGAUUUUUUUUCCCUCAGUUUCGGAUUGCUGGGCCAUGCCAUGUUCAUGCAUUUUUACAUGAGUAUAAUAAGGCCACCAAAAUCAAUGCGAACCAGAGAAGUCAUUCUAUAAUGAGGGUCUAAGGGUUUUAGAUUUGGCUUUAUCUCUUAAUCAUUGCAUUAAACUAACUUUAUUUAUAUGAUUCAACAACUAAAAAGAUAGGGCUGUUGUAAAUGUGGAGCCCAAAUGCCUAUAAAUAGGGCUUCUCCAUUUGUAACAAAACACACAUAAGAAGAGAAAAACUUCUCUCUCUCUCCAUCUAAAUUCUCUCUCAAUUUCCUCUCCAAUUUCUCUCUUGAUUUAUAACACGUUAUCAGCACGAUUUAUCUCUAAAAUACCAGCUGGGAAAUUCGAUCAAAACACUCUGCUUCAUGCUUUUCUGUGCAUCAAUAUAGCUUCUGUGUCACUCUCUAUAGCUUCAAGCCAUAGCCAGAACCACAGAGCAAAAGCCAUCGGUUUGCAAACAUUUCUUUUGCAAACUCAAAAGAAAGCUAUUAGUUUACUGAAGCUCUCAGUUCAUAUCAGCAGACAGGGUUUGCAUCAAAAAGUGCUGCUCCACUGCUUCAAAAUAAAUCCCACAGAAAAAGAAAAAGCCCAGAACCCAAAAGAAAAAAAUAAAAAAAAAAAAAAGGAUUUCUCGGUCUCUGUCUCUCUGUCUCCUCCGCUCUUCAGCCUUUAGCCACGGUUGGAGAUUAUAAAACAGCAGCAGCAGCAGCAGCAGCUACCACAUGAAGCUGAAGCAGCCCUUUGGUGUUCAUCAACACACCCAAAGCCAACGACUCUUGCAGACAUGGUUGAAAGCUCUGCAACGUCUAGCUCCAGAAGCAGCAGCGGCAGCAGCAGCUACCACAUGAAGCUGAAGCAGCCCUUUGGUGUUCAUCAACACACCCAAAACCAACGUCGCCUCCGAUGAGAACCCAGCAACCACCUCCUCGCCGUAGAGCUCGACGACUGCCUUUGCCUGCAUUUUGAUGGUGGUGGUGCUUUCUUCUUAUUCUUGGGCUCCGUCACCAUCAUCCUCUCCGCCGACGCCGAGCUCCGCUCGAAUCCGAACGAGUGCGACCGCUUCAGGACGAAAUCUCCGCCGUUGAUCCGAUAAUCCUUCCAGUGACAGGCGUGUUCUUGCCUCGCAUAUACACCAACCCUGCUCCUGAGCCUCGCAAGAAAACAGUUUUCCCAACUGUUCUGCUCCCAGCCAAGGUAGUUCAAGCCCUCAACUUGAACUUUGAGGACUGGUAUUUCAUGGUCCAAACCCUUCAAAGAACCCUGUGUCUGGGGCUAAGAGGGGCUUCUCUGAGACCAUUGAUCUCAAACUGAACCCUCAGUCCAAGGAAGAUCUGAACGACAACGUCAAAAAAAAAAAAAAAAAAAAAAAAAAAAAAAAAAAGAGAAAGUUGUGGGUUGGCCACCAGUGCGAUCAUACCUGGAGGUUACUGGCGAGAUGGUUGCACCAAAUGAGGGGAUGCCAAAAUGAUGAGAUUCUCACCAUCUUUUUUACUUAUUAUUAUUCUAUAUUAUUUAAUAUUAAUAUUAAUGCAUGUGCUAAUGGCAGGUCAAAUGAAAAUACAGUGACAAGCAUGAUGCCUUCCACAAACGAUAAUAAUAUUAUCUGCUACACUAUUUGAUCGUGGUGUUGAUGAGAACUCACCAAUAAUUGCCUUUACUUUAUCGCAAAUUUACUAUUAUUAAAAGUAUGAUGUGGAAUUAACCCUCAUACUUUAUGAAUUUACUUUACUGCACAUUUACUUUUACUUAAAGUAUGAUGAGGAAUUACAUACUUUAUGAAUUUACUUUACCGCACAUUUACUUUUACUUAAAGUAUGAUGAGGAAUUAACCCUCAUACUUUAUGAAUUUACUUUACCGCACAUUUACUUUUAGUAUGAUGAGGAAUUAACCCUCAUACUUUAUGAAUUUACUUUACCGCACAUUUACUUUUACUUAAAGUAUGAUGAGGAAUUAACCCUCAUACUUUAUGAAUUUACUUUACCGCACAUUUACUUUUAUUUAAAGUGUGGUGCGGGUUUAUCGUCCAUACCAGUAAUUUAUUUUAUGGAUUAAAUGUGCUGUAUGAUGAGUUUUUACAGUAUGCAUAUCAGGACCAGAAGUUCCUUGAUCCUCAUCAUACAAUUACAUCAGGACUUGAAGAUCCUUGAUGAUGAUGUUAAUAUGAGAGCUGGCAGUCUCUCCGGUACUAUAUUUGUAAACAUGUGAUUGGACUUGAGGGUCCUUGAUCCCUGACAUGUAAAUAAGGACCUGGGGUUCCUUAAUGAUGUAACAGUAUCGUAUUGUUUCAUAAUGCCGUACACAUGGAUGAUAACUGUACUGGCAAAUGUACUGUCCACAUGAAUAGAUACGUAUUCAUGACUUGAUGAAUAGUACCGGAUAUAUGAAUAGUGACGUAUACAUAAAUAUUAACCAUUUUGGGUAAACCGUCACUAUAUUCAAAAAGGGAACCUGCAGUUCCUUCAACUCAUGAAUAAGCAAUUAAAUGAGAUGCCAGAAGUUCCUCAAGAUAUGGACAAUUAUGUAAGGACUUGAAGUCCAGAAAUAUGUACAGAAAAUUGUAAAAAUGUUCAUACCAUGAGAAUAUGUAAUUUUGGCUUGAGGUUCAAAAUCUAACAAUGUUGAGAAUCUGAAGUUCCAACAAUUAAAUGGACAACUCUUGAGGUAUUAUUGCAAAUUGUGGUACGCCACAUAUCUCUUUGGCAUAAGAGAAUGAUGAAUUGAGGCUCCCCACAUAUUUUGUUAUAUCUGGGCCGGAAGCUCAUGAACCCAAAUAUAUGAGAUAUUAACGUGGCUUUUACUCAAUUCAUAUUUCAUGACCAUUUUGAAAAGGGCAAAUAAAUUCUGAGUUUUGUGUUUAGCCCAGGCCAAAAGUUCCGGGCUUCCAUACAUUGAAAUAUGAAAUUUGGGAGAGUUAAUAUGGUUAUUUGAACCUAUAAGGCACAAGGUUCCAAACCGUCAUUUUGAAAAGACGUAAAAACCACAGGUGCAAAUUUUAAGAAUGUGCGCAAUUAUUAUAACAGGAAAGGAGCAAGUUGUAACACAGUUGCUCCAAUCAAGUUUUGCAAAGGCCAUAUCUAUAGGAGGAAAUAUGGCUACGGUUUCCAGGAUCCCAAUAUUAUCUCAGAUCCCCAUAUUAUCUUUUUCUUUCCCAGAUUCCAAAACUUCACGUGGCCUCCAUUAAAUGUCUGUCGGCACUUUCGGCGUUUUCAAAGUAUUAUUUUCGUCAAAAGCCGAUCUUGCUUUGCGGAUUUCACGGAGCUACUUUUUCAAAAGUACCCCGAGAAUCUCGCAAUUUUCCUAUGAUUAAUUUGAAAUUCACCGGUUCUACCUAUUCAUUGUAUUUGUGUAUAAAUGUGUUACUAACGAAAUUUUCUUUGCAGAAGACAUCCAGUUUUCUCCAUACCUAGUGAUGCGAUAUCUACUUGUUUUUCUUAUCAGUGAGCACUUAAUAUGCCCGAGAACCAAGGCUAUCUCUGAUCACCCAUUCAGGAAGCGAGACUAUCCCUGAUCACGUUUCCGCUACAUCAGGAAACUGUGAAGGCGAUCUUAUGCUCUAAUCUCCGGAAGUCCUUCUAGACUAGGAGAUAUGAGAGCUUAUUGUCUGCUCCCACCAGCUUCCUUCCCUGAUUGCUUACCUUCCCUUUUUGCAUUUUUUCUCUUUCUGUAACUCUCUGAGGAUUAUUUGUUUUUGACAGAGAAAAGAGUUGUGAUAUUACUCUUGCAGGAUAUAACUACAUCAUCAAGCGCUACAUUUACUGGGCCGAUACAAGCUUGAAUGAUACUUGAGAAAAGUUUCUCCCACCUAAGGAUGUAAGCAAUACUUGUGUUAUUUUAUGCUUAUAUACUCAUUUGAUAUUUUAUCUUGAAAGGUAGCCAAAUGGGAAGAUAAGUCCGUUCCAACAGAAUGGCUUGUAUGUAUCCAUGAAUUAUUAAUACAAAUUUUACAGAUUGUAAGUUGGAUACAUUGAUAAUACACUGCACAGAUUAAAGUCCCAUAAGAACAGAAUAUGGGUAUAGCAGUGAUCAAUAUGAUGCACGCCUGUUGCGUAGCAAAUGAUAUGGAUUGAAGUCCCGAAAGGACAAUCCUUUGACAUGUCAAUAUUGAUAUUAUGCACGCCUAAUGCGUAGCAAAUUAUAUGGGUUAAAGUCCCAUAAUAUGGGUUAAAGUCCCAGAAAUUAAUUGACAUGUAUGUAUUAAUCUGUGGCAUGCCUGCAGCAUGACAGAUAUAUGGGUGCACGCCUGUUGCGUAGCAAAUGAUAUGGAUUGAAGUCCCGAAAGGACAAUCCUUUGACAUGUCAAUAUUGAUAUUAUGCACGCCUAAUGCGUAGCAAAUUAUAUGGGUUAAAGCCCCAUAAUAUGGGUUAAAGUCCCAGAAAUUAAUUGACAUGUAUGUAUUAAUCUGUGGCAUGCCUGCAGCAUGACAGAUAUAUGGGUUCUAAAUGUUCCAACUCUCUAAAUAGAGAUUAUCCACGCCCUACUGUAAAAUAACGCUCCAUUGGAGGUUAUAACCCACAUUCUCACAUAAUAAAAGCCCCAUGAAGUGGCUUGGGUACCCAAAAGCAAAGAAAUGCUUAUAAUUGAUGCAUGCGCAUGCACAUGAGAAUGGUGGGAUCAUGAAUUGAUGAAUGACAAUUUUUAAUUUUGGAGUAGCUACUCAAAUCAUCAAUGGGCUGUGUUGAUUGGAACCACGUUCAAUUAUUAAAUGUCGACAAUAUCAUUGGCCAAAAUGGAACGAGGUAAUUCCAUUAUAAAUGAGAAUGAACGUGAAAGAACAAACCCAUAAUACGAACCCCAAAAUUUGUUAAUACUGAAAGUUAUACUUGGGUGUUCGGAAUAAAAGGGAAUAUACCUACUUUGUAUGACACACUGUUUCUGGCAGAAACAAGGAAUGUUGGGUUUUCUCCAUAUUUACAGAUUCAAUUGUGCCCCCCCCCCCUUAUUACACAAUUACGGAGACCAACAUAUUAUCUUUAAGGGUUAUUAAAUGCACGGAGCAUAUCGCCAGAAGCGAUUCCCUAAAGAUGUAUAAAUAGCUGGGUUAAAGCUAUAUAAUGUGUCAUAAAGCUUAAUCCCUUUUAGACAAAAUCCGUUGAGAGGAUUGAUAUUGCAUAAAGCAAGUCCCUAAAGGACAUGUGCUUGAAGCACAAAAUUUGUACUCAAUAUUAAUAUGCAUAAAUUACCUCAGUGAGUACAUUGAUUAUAAUGUGAUUGCAACACAUUAAAGCUUCUGCAGAAUUCAUGAAAUAUUUGUCUCGAUCGAGCAUUAUACCAACGAGAUUCUUGCUUAUACUAAGAGAGUCUUAUCUGUUGGUCCUUAAAUGUUUUUUCCGGAAGUAUACUAGACCAGAUAAAGCUCAGCUCCACACUGUACUCUUUUUCCUUCAUCCAGGUUUUUAUCCCAUUGGGUUUUUCCUGGUAAGGUUUUAACGAGGCAGUGUCGCUCAAGGGUUUAGGGUAUACUAUGAAAAUUUUUAUGGUCGCUUACUGGACAAAAGCUAGUCCUAAAUUUUUCAGGGGGAGAUAUUCACAAAGGGGGAGCAUGGUUUUAAUAAAGACCUCCAUACACUGUACUAUUUUUCCUUCAUCCAGGUUUUUAUCCCACUGGGUUUUUCCUGGUAAGGUUUUAACGAGGCAGUGUCGCUCAAAAUUGACUCACAGAAGCAGUGUCAACUACGAUGGUCAGAAAGGUGAUCAACAACAUGACUUAAAGAUAUUUUGCCAAGCAUCAGGGGGAGCGUGCUAUCAAUACAGAUCUUCAAAACACUGUACUCUUUUUCCUUCGUCCAGGUUUUUAUCCCACUGGGUUUUUCCUAGCAAGGUUUUAAUGAGGCAGUGUCGCACGUGCGUCAAUAUACAUGGAAUUUUAUGUUACACACUAUUAUGUACUCUUUUUUCCUUUGACUAGUUUUUGUCCCACUGGGUUUUUACUGGCAAGGUUUUUAACGAGACAUAUUCUGUAUCAUUUGUGGUCUCCAAGGGGGAGUGUUGUAAAUGUGGAGCCCAAAUGCCUAUAAAUAGGGCUUCUCCAUUUGUAACAAAACACACAUAAGAAGAGAAAAACUUCUCUCUCUCUCCAUCUAAAUUCUCUCUCAAUUUCCUCUCCAAUUUCUCUCUUGAUUUAUAACAAGGGCAUAUAAAACCAUCAAUAUAGAAUUCUACUAUUUAACACAUGCAAGUUUCAUGGUCAAAUAAAUAAAGAGCCUUGUAUUUGUAAGGCCGAAAACCUUGUUUGUAUUUGUUUGUCUAGAACACUAAAAUAAUGAAGUAAAGAAAUAAAGAGUAGAGGGGCGACUGAUGAAUAAGAAUAGCUAGAAAAUAAAAAAACACAAAAGCAAAAAACAAAAGUUGUCUGGGAAGAUUAAAAAAUGAAACAAAAAAGUUGUCAAGCAACAUUAAAAAAAUAGGAUGAUUGAGAGAAAUCAUGCCCUGGCUUAAAUUUGUGAGACCACUGGUUUAUUAUGCCCUCGCUUAAACUGCAAGAUUGUACAUAGCACAAACCAAAACCUCAUACGAAAAAUUUAAUACUGAAACAAGCAAAUUAAUCAAAACAAUAUUCAUCUGAUGUGAUAAAACCAAAACAGAUGAUAGCAAACCUCAAACAAUCGCGGCUACAAAAAACAUAAUUUAAAUUUCGAUAUCCUCCCUGCCAUAAUAAGGGAUGCAAAACUUAAGAGCUAGGCUUCAAUGUGUUUCCAAUGUCAAUGACAAAGCGAUAUCUAACGUCUGUUUUAGCAAGACGCUCCAUUGCAGUGUUCACAUAAUCAAUAGGGAUAACUUCAAUAUCAGCUGUAACGUUGUGCUUGGCCGCAAAAUCAAUCAUCUCUUGUGUCUCCUUCAUACCACCAACGCAACUACCAGCUACUAUCUUCCUUCCUAGUAAAUUUCAGAAUAAAUAUAAAUAGUUAGGUUAAUUAAUGGAGAAAAAGAGCCAAAAAUAUGUACAUAUAUACUUAAACGCAAUGAGACAUUGAAGGGAGUUUCAUCAUAUGCUUACCCAUCAGCAGAGGAAAAACCGGAAGCUCGGGACGCUUCUCCGGUGCACCAACCAUAACAAGCUUUCCAUGAGACUUUAACAAAUCAAUGUAAGGUAAGAGAGGAUGGUUUGCAGAGACUGUAUCAAUAAUACCAUCCAUCGUGCCCAUGGCAGCCUAUGCAUAAUGAAGCAAAAAUUUAAAAACUUGUCAGGUCAUCUACUAUUUUCUUUGUACGGUCUCAACUGAUCAUGUAUUGUAAUGAAUCGUACGGUCUCACCUGCAUCUGAUCUUCAUCACGACUGACCAAAAACAAGUCAGCAUGAAGAUGUUUAAUAGCUUCCUCCUCCUUUCCAGGGGAGGUACUGAUCACAGUAACCUUAACCCCCAUAGCCUUGGCAAAUUUCACAGCCACAUGGCCUAGACCACCAAGGCCAGCGACACCUACAUGCAUACCGGGUUUGUCAAGUCCGAAAUAUCUCAAAGGGCUGUAAGUUGUAAUCCCAGCGCAUAGAAGAGGAGCAGCUCCAUCAAGAGGUAGGUUAUCUGGAAUAUUGACAACGAAGUGCUCAUCAGCCACCAUGAUAUCUGAGUAGCCUCCAUACGUAGUCGUUCCGUCAUGGUACUUGCCACCAAAUGUGGGUAUCCAUCUGGGGCAGUAGUUCUCAAGGUUGUUUGCACAAUUAUCACAAGAAUGGCAAGAUCCCACCAUGCAUCCAACACCAACCUUGUCUCCAACUUUGAAUUUUUCUACUUUGCUCCCUACCUCUGUCACGACACCAACAAUCUCAUGCCUGCAUUGCCCAAUUUAUUAAAGUUCGCAUUUUUUAUUGAUUAAAAUGGAUGUCAUAAUCCAAAUUCAUAACUUUUCAAAUUGUUACUAAAAUUUGUUUUUGAAUUGAUAAAAUAAGUUCUCUCAAUAAACAUAAUUUCUUCCUUGCAUUUCAUGCUUACCCAGGAACGAGAGGAUAGGUGGAAGCACCCCAUUCAGUGGACUCCAAUUCAUUCUUGAUUAGGUGAAGGUCGGAAUGACAUAUCCCACAGUAUGCGACUUUGAAUGUCACGUCUUUCUCUCCCGUUUCCCUGCCACCCAAAUCAACUAAUUAAUUUCUCCAACAUACUCAAAAACUGAGACUUGCUUUUAAGUAGAGGAACAAACUUUCUGUUGCUCCUAACUUAUGAACAACUUAAAUAGAAAUGAAUUUAUUUUUUGAUUUAAUAGAUUUAUGUAUAUAAUAUUUCAUCAGAAACUAGUAGAGACAAAUACUUAGUUACAUAAUUCCACGACGAAUAAAACGAUAAAUUGAAUAAGAAUUGGAUAAAGGACAUGAUUGAUAAUGUACCUUCUUGAGAAAUUGAAGGGAGAGAGAACACCUGAUGAAUCUCUGGCGGCCCAUCCAAAGGCCUUCUUGGGGUGUUCUUGUUCUGUUGACAUUUUCUCUCUAAUAAGCAAAUAAUAUUUGCAGGCACCGAGUAAUAGUACUCUGAAUUAGUAUGAGAGUCUGAGGGAGUGCAUGCAUGAUAUGUAGCAGGGGGAUUUGGUGAAGGCUGACGUACUGGGUGAGCCAAUUUGAGGUCUCUUUCGAAUGAACUAAAUUUUGUUGGCUGACCAGACAACUUCCUCGGAUAAAAGUACACUGAUGAUGUCGUCACAAUGCGUAACAGCUUACCUACAGAUGUUUUGGUUGAUAAUUAAUUUUGGUGUCGUUAUCACGGAAAGCGGAAUACAUUGACAAUAACCAUGCCUAUAUGCCUAUGCGGGUGUGCUUGGUCAACAAGUAUCUGCUCCUGCUAGAAAAUGCCGUUUAUACCAUGCCCCACACAUCUAUCCAUUCUCUCCAAAUAAUUAUUUAAAAUAAAGGAGCAAUAAUCACACUUUUAGGUCCUGUUUGGUUCACGGAAUGGAUUUGAAGGGAAAUCAUUUCCCAUGUCAUUUCCCAAGGAAUGAGAAUGAAAGAUUCAUUUCCCACGUUUGGUAAUGUCGGGAAAGUAACCUGGAGAUUUCACUUUGUUUCCUUUCCCAUGUUUAUUUUGAGUAUGAAUGGAAAACAAAGUUUGUAUAAUUUUCCAAUUAUACCAUAUUAAAUCAAAUAAGAAAGAAUGUCUUUAAUGAUACGUUGUAAUUAUAAAUUGUUCAUAGGGACAAAAUAGUCAUGAAAAUUGUGCAUUGAAUGUUGGCUCAUUUUCCCAAACUUUCCCAUGAUGAGAGAAAACAAAACCCAAGUUAAGAGGAGGGCUUCACUUUCUCCCUACUUUCUCAUGUGUCAAACAACCAUUUUUCAUACCUGGACUUACCAAAUAUGGGAAAGCAAUUGAAUUCUCAUUCCCAAGCCUCCUUUCCCAUUAACCAAACGGGGCCUUGUAGUAACCAAAUUAACUUUGGUGACAUGGGAAGGUUGGCUAUGAACUCCUCACCAUUAUUGGUGACAUUCAAAUUGAAUAUAAUAAAUAUAAAAUUAAAAAGUAAUAUAAUAUAAUGUAUCCCACACAAAGUGUACUCAACUAAAAGCAUUCAUAAUUGGCUUCCUAAACCACCCCCUUAGACAAAUUUUAGGGAGGAAAUGUAAAAAUGCAACUUCAACCAUGCUCCCUAUCCACCUCUUAAAAUAGGGAGUCUUCUAGGAGCUCUUAAAUCUGAGGAGAGAGAAAUGACUCCUAAUGACUCCCUAUAAUUUAAUGUUGGUUUAUUUAAUGAGUAUUUCAAACCAUUAUUUAAUGCUAAUUAUUUUUUUAUUUUAUUUUUUAAUAAACAUAGACCAAUCAAAAAAGAGUUAUAGCAUUUGAACCAGCACGCGCUGACGUCAGCGCGACGCCAGCUCCAACGGGAAUAAGCCACGUGUCGCCUCCCCAGCCCUCCGAUCAGCAUCUCCGAAUCCAUCCUAUGGCUGAGGCUUUUUUGGGCAAUAAAAAUAUGAAAAAAAAUCGUAAAUUUUUUUAAACAAUUCUAAAAAAUUCUGAUAUUUUUUUUCUAUAAAUACCUAUCAAUACCCUUCACUUUCAACACCAAUCCUCAUACAUUUCAUUAUACUUCUACUAUUAUUCACUCUUUGCUCAACAUUUUCCUCUUUUUCAUCUAGUAUUUUGAUUUCAUAUUUUUAUGGCUUCUUCUAUCGAAACCGGAGAGGCUUGGAGCACCAUGGAAGAUGUUUCCUUGUGUGAGGCUUGGCUCCAAAUUUGUCAUUGUCUCGUGUCCGGCAAUGAGAUGAAAUUUUUUCAUAUGUGGAAAAAAAUUCAUGCCGAAUUUUGUGAAAAAAUUCCGGGGUCUACUCGUACGGAGAUGGCAUUAUCCAGUAGGUGAAAAAUUCUCAAUAAAAAGUUGGGAAAAUGGAGAGCUGCCCUAGCAAAAGCGAUGGACAACUAUAGAAGCAAGGAAAAUCGUACUAACGAGGUAAGUAUUUUAUAAUUUUUGUUUUAUUAAGUUUAAUCUCCUAAUAUAUAUAUAUUUUGUUAAUAUUUGUUAAUAUUUCUUGCAUUUUAAAUAUUUUGUUCAUAUUUCUUGCAUUAUCAAUAUUUUGUUAAUAUUUUUUGCAAUUUAAAUAUUUUGUUCAUAUUUCUUGCAUUUUCAAUAUUUUAUUAAUAUUUCUUGCAUUUUCAAUAUGUUGUUAAUAUUUCUUGCAUUUCCACUUGUUUCUUAAUUUUCUUGCACUUCUAAUUUAUUUGUAAGGUUAAUUGCAUUUUCAUUAUUAAUUUUUUUGUUACUUAUAUAUCCAAUAUAUUUUAAAUAUUUAUUGCAUUUCUAUUUUUUUGUUAAAUAGAUGAUUCAAGCACAAAUGUGGUUCGGUGCAACCGGGGGUGGCAAAAAAAGUUUCAACCAUCAUGAAUGUUGGGAGGUGGUGAAAUAUUGCAAACGCUUCAUAAUUAUUCUGACGGGUCCGGAGGUUGUGUUAAACGAGACGCCACUCCGUGAUUCAAUGACAACGGAUUCACCUCUCGAUUCUCCUAUGAGUCAAGACUCACCCAUCGAAAAGGACCCGAGGCUCAUUGGCCGAAAGGCCGCGAAGGCAAAGAAAGCGGGUAAAUCAAGCAUGACUUUAUUGAACAAAUGAGGUUGCAUUCUAAAUCGCCUUCGAAAAUCAACAUCAGAGUACAAAGAAGUUGGGAUAAAAUAAUCUUCCAAAAGAUUCUUACCCUGAGAAUGCCUAUGUAUUUCCACAUUCCGGCGGCGGCCGACUUGUGAACCACGGCGGCGACCUUGGUUCUCUUCAUCUUCCAAAGCCACUGCUAUGAGAACUUGUUCAUCGAUUUGUCUCUGCAACUCAUUGAUUUCAUCUGCUCUACGGUUUCUCUCAUUUGUUUCUCGCUCUUGCCUCUCCAAGCAUCUCCUGAAUUCUUCCAUUUAGAAUGAAUGAAGUAUGAAAUCUAAACUCUGAGAAAUGAAAAUAUAGAAAGAUGUGGUGUGAGAGGUAUGAGCUGAGCCUCUGGUUUUAUAGAAAAUUUUGGCAAGAUAGACAUGCCACGUGGCUUGAUUUGAUUGGAUGAAAAUCUUAUCUGAAAUUUGAAAUUCAUCCGAAAUUUGAACCCAAAUUUAUAUGAAUUUUGAAUUUUGAAAUUCAUCCGAAAUUUGAACCCAAAUUUAUUUGAAUUUUGAAUUUUGAAAUUCAUUCGAAAUUUGAACCCAAAAAUUUAUCUGAAAUUUGAAUUUUGAAAUUCAUCCGAAAUUUGAUUCCAAAAAUCUUAUCCGAAAAUUUUAUCCGAUUAUGAAUAGUCUUGACACGUAGGAACCCGGAAAUCUUAUCUGAAAAUAUUAUCCAAAUUAAUUAUUUUCAUUAAAAAAGUUGUGAAAAAAAAUAAAAAAAUGAAUAGUAAUUGCCCUUAGCUAUGACAAUGGGUGAAAACACAAAAUACUAUUUGCAAGGGCAACCACUAUUCACAUGAAUAGUGGUUGCCGUAACUCCUCCCUUACCAUGACUAAAGACAAAUGAGUGAAAUUGCUCUUAGUGUUGCGCUUGGAUUACGUAUGGGGUGAUCGAAUGGAAGCUCAAAAACAGUAUUUUCAGAAUUCAUCUCACUUUGGUUGACUAGUCAACUUGUCUUUAAUUUUAGAGUGAUGUGGUCCCAGUCCCAAUGCGUAAGAGUUUACCUCCCCAUAAUUUUGGUUGUUUUAUGUGCUUCCACAAUAUAUUUAUCUGCUUCCACUAAGAAAAUUACAUGUGGUUGCAACUUGCAGCAUACUAAAUGAAUCUUGCAUAAAGUUAUUGGUAUCUCUCUGAAUAAAUAUAAAAGAGUGAAUGAAUGAUUACGAGUGGCCUGGCCAUUAAGUUAGUAUUCUUGGUGGAGUGGUUACACGAUGCCAAAGAACAGAAGCACCUAAUAAAGUUAAGGUCCUGGCCAUUAACCCUAAAUUUAAAAUUUGUAUCACCUUUAGCAUCUCCACCUUUGACUGAUCAGCAAGCCAAGCCACCACAUGCCAAUAUAUUCACAUAUGCUUAUAAUAUGGACAGCUCCUCCAUUCAAAGACUGUUUUUAUUAAUAAUUUUUUUAUCAGUAAUAUUGUAGGAGGGGGGGUUUUUCACACACACUGUUAAGAUGUCAUGGUUAUUUAAACAUGAGACCAUUGCCCUGCAAGUCAAGACUCUUUCCUUUAGGCUACCCGUUGGCUCAUUCAAAGGCUUAGUCAUUAGGCUUUCAGGUCCUUUAAUCUAUUUUCCUCACAUGUAUAUACAAUAUUCUUCAAGUAACCAGUUAGUAAGUUAAUAUAGCAGUAAGCACUCGUUCAACUUACUCUUUAGUAUAAUUUUUUAUGAUGAAAAUUGUUCCUUUUUUAGGUCCUCAUUCAAAUAUUAGUCCUUAAAAAAUUUCAUUCAAUUCAGAUGUUUUUUAGCCAUUAAAUUGCUAUCAUGAAUAUUACUUAUUUAUUGAAAAUAUUAUAGUCGGUUUAAUCCUCGUAUUUGUUGUUGUUGAUAUAAGUCCUUUGACUUUUCUACCAACUAGGAUUACAUUUUUUUUUUGUAUUUUCUAAUGUAGAGCUAUUAUUAUUAUUAUUAUUAUUAAUAAAAAAUUAUCUAGUCGUUCUUAUUAUGCCCAUGAAGUAUAAAUCGUGUAGAAAUUAAUUUAUAAGACCAUAAAUACGUUAUUUUAUUAUUAUUUUAAUAUAGGGAUAUAAAUAGGUUAAAAAACCCCAUAAUUUUGGGACAAUUUAUUAUUUUGGAGAUACAACAAAAUAGCAAUUUUUUAUUUUUGUUCAUCCUAUGAUAGCGGUAUAUUAUACACUUGUAGCCCAUCCAAUGGCCUUCUUAGGGUGUUCUUCCUCUAGAGAUUUCGCCAUUUUCUCUCUUCUAAGUAUUUUCUUUCUCAUUAGUUAUUAUUUUUUUCUGAUAAUGUAUAUUAACUAAUUAUAUAUAUACAUAUACAGAGAGAGAGAGAGAGAGAGAGAGAGAGAGAGAGAGAGAGAGAGAGAGAGAGAGAGAGAGAGAGAGAGAGAGAGAGAGAGAGAGAGAGAGAGAGAGAGAGAGAGAGAGAGAGAGAGAGAGAGAGAGAGAGAGAGAGUGUGUGUGUGUGUGUAUGUGUGUAGCAGCUAGCAAUUGUGACGUGCUAGUCUUUCGGGAGUUUUUGCUUAGAUAAAUCCAACUUCCUUGGCUUCUUCUUAGUCUGAAUCCAACUUUUUGGGUGGCAUAUAGCUUUCCUGGGAAAAUACACUAAUGUCAUUACAAUAUUUUGUUUGAGGUUACCUCUGUAAUUGUGAUUGAUGAUUUUAAAGAAAUUAAACAUUUUAAUUUACAUAUAUGUUUUAACAAAAAAAACAUUUGACUGCUUACAAAACAAAUUUUGAUACUUUCACUGAAUUAUUUAUACAUACAAACCAAACAAGUGUUCCGCUUUAAGCACUAAUUUAAGUUAUAAUCCUCAUUCACAUUAUUAUACUAGCGCAUUUCAUUUUCUUGGAAAGGUAUACUUAUUCGUCAUGCUUUUCAUGUAUGGACUGAAAUGACAUUUUCUUGAUAAGCUGAGGUACAAUUCAGGGAUUUCUCAAAUAAGGUCUCAUUAAAAUAAAAAACAGUAAAAAAAAAACUAAAUUUUAUUUUUACAUGCCCAAAAUAAAACAAUGCUACUUUUUGGCCCCUCCUCCGCUUUUUUUUUUUUUUUUUUCUUUCUGUAUGUGAAUCAACGAGUGAAAGUUAUUAUGUCUCAGCGCAAAUAGAAAAGAUAAGAAAGACAAAGGUCAUUACAAAAAUACAACGAAGGUAGCAUGACUAAAAGAUUACGAAGCCUAGAAAUGGAGCAAUACAAAUACAGAAAGGUCCAAAUUCCACUUGUGCAACUGAAUAGUCAAUGUUGCUAGUUUUUACGGAGUUAUCAUGUCUGUGCCUCCGCAUUAAUUCAUGAAGCUCCCCUAAUAUCGCUUGGAUAUAAAAAUAAAUAAAUAAAUAAAAGCAUACAGAGACAUAAAAUAUAUUUAUAUUUUUAAAAUUAAAUGAUGAAGGUGAAAGCAGUUGUGCUUGUUUCCAUCUAAAUUAAGAGCGAAAGGCUUAAUUAGGACCACUAGAUUGAAUGGAGCCAGACAAUAUUAAUGCCCAUUUGGCAUUGCUUAUCGUUCCUUUCAAGAUGCAUGCUAGUUUAAAAAAUUGGAGUCAUUAAUGUGCUAGAAAUCAAGGAGUAUCAAUAAGAAAUCAGGGAGUUUAUAACAUACUUUAAAAUAAAUUAAAUACAAAACAUGAAGGUAGAUGGCAUAUAUUGUAAUUUAGUUAAUAAAAAUAGAGGAUAUAUAUCUUACCAGUUUAGGUUUUAGUUAGAUGGUUAAAAUUAUGUGAGUUUAUGUCUAAGAUAUAAAAGUUGUAAAGAUAUCUAUAUGAAGAACCCAAAAUGGCACAGUGCAACAAAAAGCCUGAGCACACAAAAAUGACAAAAAGCCAAGAUAAUUUUAUUCAAAUAAAGAAGGGUACAUAAGCUUGAAAUUGGAAAUGACGAUCUAGUGUAGUAGGGGAGGAGCCCCCAUACUUAGCCAACUUAAGGAUCUUAGAUAAUACUUUUAAUAAUUAAUAAUAUUAUGGAAUAGGGUCGAAAGAAAAUCAACAUAAGCAAUGGCAAUGAUGACGGUUGCCUAAUAGUUUGCAGAUUCCUCCUUUCUCACAAUCUGAAGUGCAAAAUGUCCAGCAUUUUCCACCGUUUGGGUUGUCAUCCGCACCAGGGACACAAUUUCCAAGUUCAGGAUGAUCAGUACAACACUUAGACCCUUCAACAGUUGCAAUCUUCCAAACUGAAAUUAAGGAAAAAAAAAAGGACAAUUAAUUAAUUCGCCAAAAAAAUUAUAGUCUUAUUAUGAAAUGAACCAAAAAUUGAAAAACUAAAAGCCUCUUGAACAAACUCUGCAAUAUAUAAAAUUAUAUUACAAAAUAUUUACAAGAAAAACAAGUGUAGACAUGAGUUUACGAGCUUGAACAAACUCUAGAUUCUUAGUUUAAAAGUAAUUAAAAUUGAUCCAAUUUGGGUUUUCUAUUGACUCAUACAUUGAUAUGAUCAACGAAAAAGGAAAAAAAACCCUAAUAGCUUGCAUGCAUGGACAUCUGUUUGACCAUAUAUAUAGGAGAUUGUAAAUACUUAAUUCAAAAGCCUAACUAACAGGAAAAAAAAAAAUAUAUAUAUAUAUAUAUAUAUAUGAUUGAAGAUCAUUGAAACAAACCAUUGGUGGUUGACAAGAGCACCAAAAUGAGGACGAAACAAGGGAUUGUAAACUUAGCCAUCGUUUUUAACUAGAAUUCACUUCACUUGUUCUGCUAAAAAGUUGAGACGAUGUGCAAUUUAUAUAGAGAGUUAAAAUAUAUAGUCAUAAAUAUAUAAUUACGUUCAAAAUAUAUAUGGUAUUUUUUGGCAAAUAGUGGGAUUUUUGUCUGGAAAUGGGAAAUUAAAAAAAUUGUUUGCGGGUGGAAAUGAGGCAAUAUCUACAAUACCUAGUUUAAUCAGAUAUGUUUGGCUUUUGAUCUUUCAUACCUAAUACUGACCCAACAUAAAUAGAAAUAAAUCCAAUAAAGAUCCCAGGUGGUUGAGAAGAUGGGUUCAGAGGCCUAUAUUCUUUUGCAAUAUUCUAGGCCCAUAUAUGUCAACUCCAACAUUGAGAUUUUUAUUCAAGUAAAGAAGGGUAUAGAUGCUUCAAAGCGAAAUUCUAUAGUGACUAAUGAUAAGAAGAACAUGAGUUUACGCACUUCACUUCUUCUGCCAAAAAAGUUGUGGCGAUGUGCGGUUUAUAUGGAGAGUCGAAACAGUAAAAUAUAAAAUAUAUAUGGUCUUUUUAGGGAAUUAGUUGACCUUAAUUACGUUGUUACAAAUGCUACCAAUAUAUAAAGCUACGUUAACUAUUGAAACGUUUGAGAAUUAACCCAGUCUUAAUCUUUUAUGGGGUUUUUAUCAUUAUUUUGAAAUCAAUUAUCUUUCCUUUUCAAGAUGCAUGCUAGUUAUUCCUGGUAUGAUACUUUCUUUUUAAAAAAUUGGAGUCAUUAAUGUGCUAGAAAUCAGGGAGUAUCAAUAAGAAAUCAAGGAGUUUAUGACAUGCUUUAAAAUAAAUUAAAUACAAAACAUGAAGGUAGAUCGCAUAUAUUGUAAUUUAGUUAAUAAUAAUAGAGCAUAUAUAUCUUACCAAUUUAGGUUUUAAUUAGAUGGUUAAAAUUAUGUGAGUUUAUGUCUAGAAUAUAAAAGUAGUAAAGACAGCUAUGUGAAGAACCCAAGACGGCAUAUUGCAACGGAAAGCCUGAGCACACGGAAAUGACAAAAUGCCAAGAUAAUUUUAUUCAACUAAAGAAGGGUACAUAAGCUUGAAAUUGGAAAUGACGAUCUAGUCUAGUAGGGGAGGAGCCCCCCACCUACCCAACUUAAGGAUCUUAGAUAAAACUGUUAACUAAUUAAUAAUAUCAUGGAAUAGAGUUGAAAGAAAAUCAACAUAAGCAGUGGCAAUGAUGAUGAUCGCCAAAUAGUUUGCAGAUUCCUCCUUUCUCACAAUCUGAAGUGCAAAAUGUCCAGCAUUUUCCACCGUUUGGGUUGUCAUCCGCACCAGGGAAACACUUUCCAAGUUCAGGAUGAUCAGUACAACACUUAGACCCUUCAACAGUUGCAAUCUUCCAAACUGAAAUUAUAAAAAAAAAAAGAAAAAAAAAAGAGACAAUUAAUUAAUUCUCCAAAAAAUUUAUAGUCUUAUUAUGAAAUGAACCAAAAAUUAAAAAACAAAAAGCCUCUUGAACAAACGCUGCAAUAUAUAAAAUUAUAUUACAAAAUAUUUACGGGAAAAACAAGUGUAAACAUGAGUUUACGCACUUGAACAAACUCUAGAUUCUUAGAUUAAAAGUAAUUAAAAUUGAUCCAAUUUGAAUUUUUUAUCCACUCAUACAUUGAUACGAUCAACCAAAAAGGAAAAAGAAAAAAAAAAACCCUAAUAGCUUGCAUGCAUUGACAUCUGUUUGACCAUAUAUAGGAGAUUGUAAAUACUUUAAUUGAAAAGCCUAACUAACAGGAAAAAAAUAAAAUAUAAAUGAUUGAAGAUUAUUGAAACGAACCAUUGGUGGUUGAUAAGAGCACCAAAAUAAGGACUAAACAAGGGAUUGUAAACUUAGCCAUCCUUUUUUCUUGAAUUCACUUCACUUGUUCUGCUAAACAGUUGAGACAAUGUGCGAUUUAUAUAGAGAGUCCAAAUAUAUAGUCAUAAAUAUAUAAUUACGUUCAAAAUAUAUAUGGUAUUUUUAGGGAAUUAAUUGACCUUAAUUAUUUUGUUACAAAUGCUACAAAUAUAUAAAGCUGAGUUGACUUCUGAGAAUUAAGCCUAGUCUUCAAUCACGUCGGCUGCAAAACUAGGAAAGGAAAUGCAUACUGUCUUUCUUUUAUGGGGCUAUUGUUAUGGAAAGGAAACGCAUACUUUCUUUCUUUUAUGGGGUCAUUGUUAUUUCGGAAUCAAUUAUCUUUCCUUUUCAAGAUGCACUAGUUAUUCCUGGUAUGAUACGGCCCCUAGGAUCAUUUUUGUUCUUGUAAUUUGCUUUAUUUUGUUAAUCAAAAAAGUUGUCGUUUCUUCUAUAAAAAGAAAAUGAAAAUCAAGCAUAAAUUAUAUCUUUUCCAUACACUACUAUCAAAUUUUACACAUGUUAUGCAUGUGAGUUCCACAUUAAAAUCCGUAAUCUAAUAUAUGAAAAUUUUAGAAUUAGAUUAACUAGAGAGGAGUAGUUGAUUUCUCUCUCUCUCUCUCUCUCUCUCUCUCUCUCUCUCUCUCUCUCUCUCUCUCUCUCUCUCUCUCUCUCUCUCCAGUUUCUCACUUGCCCAAUUCAAGACUUUCCCUAUAGAUAGAUAUGACCCAUAUAGAUACAGAGAGCUUCAGUUGACGAAUUCCUCAAAAAAUUUUAUUUGAGGGACACCCAUAUAGGUCCCACUAAACCCUCAAUAGGAGGGGAUUGUAUAUACACUGCUACAAAAAGGGAAAAAGACGACCACAAACAAAUAACGGCAGGAUAAAAUACCGUCGUUGUGUUUAGAAAGACGAGGGUAACAGAAAACCGUCGUGGAUAAGUAACAUAAACACCUAAAAAAUAGAGAUCCGCUUGGGUAUUUUUAAAACACAACUCAUCGAACUAAAAAAACGUCAUCUUAUUAAAAAGGUUUUCUAAAAUAAUGACAGCAGGUAUGAAGCCACCGACGUAGAAGAUUAAGACGACGGUUUACCAAAACAGCCGCCAUGUUAACUCCUAAAUAAACACGACCAUCUGUUCUUAAUUUGCGUCGUAUAAUUUAAACGGAAUCCACGUCGUUAUAUUACAAAGUAGCAUUGUCAUAAAGCAAUGUUCCAUGACGGUAAAGAUAAAUUUAUCGACGUCUUAUUUGGGAGUGUACUACAACAAUAUCUGUAACACUUCUAUCGUAAAUAUUAGUGGAGAACCACGUCUUUUUUUACUAUAUCAAGACAUAUUAAGUUACUACACGAUGACGGUCCAUAUAAGUUAGUACUAACCACGUUGGUAUGUUCAAUUGGAGUCGUAUAAUAUUACUUUACCACGUCGUGAAGUGAAAGGUAUCGUCGUAUUAUUUCAAUUAAUACAUUUGCAAAUUGCUAAAAGGGUAUGUUCAGAAUCGUACUCGUCCUGAAGGUUGCAUUGCUGAGCGGUGUAUAGCUGAAGAAAUUGUAGAGUUUUGCACCGAGUAUUUAUCUGAUGUUAGUACAGUUGGAGUGCCAUCAAGCUAGAAGAUGGGAGUUUCAAAGCCAGUAUCAGGUUGCACAGUGAGCUUAAUUGAUCGAGACUUGUUGAACUAGGCACAUUUAUAUGUCUUGGAGAAUACGGAGGAAGUCCUACCUUAUAUCGAGUAUGAGUUUUAUUCUUUAAGAUAUAUGAUUAAUUUGCAGGUUCAAAGUGAACUUAAUGGGGAAGAAAAUAACGGCGUAUCAGAAAAUUUGAGGUGGCUAGCAGCUAGUCCAAGCAUGGCAGUGCCAUCAUAUAGGAGCUAUCUUAUUAAUGGUGUUAAAUUUAACACUAAGGCACAAGAUGAUGUGCAAACUGUCCAAAAUAGUGGAGUUUAUUUACCUACACAUACUAUGCAAGUUGCUAGUGCCAAGGAUAAAAACCCUAUUGUCUCCAAUAUGGAUUUUUGUGGUGUCAUUCAAGAAAUUUGGGACCGUGACUACCAAAAGUUUAGAAUCCCAGUCUUAAGGUGUGAUUGGAUAGAUAAUACUUCAGGCCUUGUAGUCGAUGAACCUAGAUUUACUCUUGUAGAUCUGAGUAAAAUUGGAUAUAGGAAUGACCAAUUUGUUAUGGCUUCAAAAGUCAAACAAGUAUCUUUUAUUGACAACCCAAUGCAUUGUGGUUGGUCGGUAGUGUUAACAAUGCCUAAUAGAGAAUAUAAUGAUGUUAUUGGUGAUGAUGUGCUAGGUGAUAUUAGAAUUGAGUGUUAGCCAUUUACUAGAGGGAUACCAAAUGUUGACACAUUUGAUGACCUAAUGGGUAAGUUUGGGAGUGAAAAUAUUAGAGAUGAGUGUGAAGAUAUAUGGAUUGAUUGAUUGUUGUAAUGUAUGACAUUAGUUAUGCAGUUAAUUAUAUGACAUUAAUUAAUAGCUCUAUAUAUCAUUUUAAUUCGGAUAACAUUUUCAUUAUGCAAGCUUUGGGCAAACAAAUUAAAAAUACUGGGUUAAAGGUGUACAAUACAACAGUUCAGUUAAAAAAUCACAAAAACAGAUGUCUAAAACAUAACCAACGUCGUAUUUUUAUAAAUAACGUGGAAUGACACUACAAAAGUCCGUAAAGAAAUAAAAACCGCCGUUUGAAAAAGAAAACAUGUUGGUUAAUUAAAAUUAAAUUACACAGGUUAAUAAAUAUUACCAAAAAAGAUGGUCAUGAAAAUAAUGCACAUCGUAGAUUUAAGAAUACCACAACGGAACAGUGCUCCAACUAACGAAUUUUGAAAAACACUACUUCCACCGAUUAAUAAUUACCGUCGUCUAAUGUUGGAAAUAAAGGCAACUCAGUUUCAUUAACUGUCGUGACACUCUUCUGCACGUCGGUUAGGCUAAAACAAUUGACGUCUCAGAGAAUACACACGUCAAAGAGGGUUAUAAAAGCGACUUUUAAGAGGCCAACCACGUCAAGACCUACACAAAAACCGACACGGUAAGUAACAUAACAACGUCGACAAAUUGGAUGCUUGGGACGUAGUGAAGAACAUAACCAUGAUCGUUGUUUUAUAUUAACCAUCGUACAAGCACUAAUCCACGGCGUUUCUUUUCCUGUUCACGCCGUCAAAAUAAUUUUUAAUCUCUUACCACAGGAGUCAUGGUUAGGAGUUGUUACAUCGUUUUUCAAUAAAAGGUGUGUCAUGUUAAAUCUUUAAGAUGUCAGUGUUUUUAAAAAAAAAAAACGUUUGCUAACUUUGUCCAAUGGGCUUUUUUUACCAUUUAAACGUCGGUUCUCGCAAGAAACGGACGUGGAAUAUAUUUAAAAAGAUGAUUUUUUCCUCCCUAGCGACGUGGUUAAUACAUUUUACGUCAGUUAUGGUAUGAUUUUUGACAUGUAAUAUACUUUAGACGUCUAUUCUUUUCUGUAAGUGUCGUCUAAGUUUGUCGAAGUUUUUAUUUUUUUGCAUUUUUAUAUAUUUUAGACAUCAAUUUUUUAUUUUAUUUAGUCAACGUAGUAUAUGUUAACCACGACGGUUUCUACCACUACUACAUUUUACACUUUGCGCGACGAAGAGAAUUUCGUCGCGCAAAAUACAUUGUAGUCGCACAAAUUUUAACGCGACAGAAACUUCGUCGCGCAGAAUCCGUCGAGCAAAGAUCGUGAAGAAAGACUUUGCGCGACCAAGUUUUUUCAUUGGUCGCGCAAAGUGACUUUGCGCGACAAAAAAAUAUUGGUCGCGCAAAGUAACUUUGCGCGACGAAAACAUAUUGGUCGCGCAAAACUUUGCGCGACGAAACACAUUGGUCGCGCAGAGGUUUGCGCGACGAAAAAUAUUUGUCGCGCAAAAUUUUGCGCGACGAAACACAUUGGUCGCUCAAAGGUUUGCGCGACGAAAAAUAUUUGUCGCGCAAAGUCUCAAAAAAAUUUAUAAAAAUAAAAAAUUCCCGCGUCUCAUUUUUGGUACCCGCCUACAUUUUUAGAGUUUUGUGCGACGAAUACUAAUGUCUCGCAAAUAUUUGCGCGACGAAAUAUUUUUUGUGUUUUAAAUUUUUUUAAUUAAAAUAAACUAAUUUAAUAGUUUGCGCUACAAAAUAUUUUGUCGCGCAAGGUUUUUGACUUUUUAUUUUAUUAUUUCUUUAAUAUUAAUUUAUUUAUAUUAAUUUAUUCAAAUUUUUACUUUUUAAAUUUAAUUUAAUUGUAUGAUUUUUUUUUAAAUCACUUUAAUUUAAAUUGAUAUUAAUUUUUUCAAAUCUUUACUUUUUAAAUUUAAUUUAAUUGUAAGAUUUUUCUUAAUUACUUUAAUUUAAAUUGACAUAUUCAAAAUAAAAUUACAUAUGAAAAAUAGUGAUCAAAUUAUCCAAGAAAUAUGUUUUGAUAGCUUCCUAAUCCUCAACUUUAGCCAUCAAAGUCUCAAUGAUUACCUACAAAAAAAUAAAUAUGGUCAAAUAACAACAACAACAAAAAAAAGAAUGCAUAAUCUCCUCUAAAAUUGUUAUACCACAAAUCCAACCCAAACUCCAAUCUCUCCCUUUUACUCAACCCCAAACCCCACACAAACUCAAAACUAACUCCAAAAACACAUAUUAAUGAAAAAAAUUUCAAAUUUGGAGAGAAUAUAUCUUUUGGCAAGAUUGAGAAGGAGAAGUGAGUGUGAGAGAAUUAGAUAAGAUAGUGAUAGAGAGAUGAGAGAGUGAGAGAUAGUGAAAAGAUAGAUGAGAGAGUGAGUGAGAGUGAGAGAUAGUGAAGAGAGAUAUGAGAGAUUAAGUGAGAGGAGUGAGUGUGAGAGAAAGGGUGGAAUUUGGGGAGAGGGAAAGAGAGAGGAGAGGUAAGAGUAGAGAAAGACAUUGAGAAAAUGGUGGAUGAGUAAUUUCGGUUUUAAAAAUCGUAUCACUUUGCGCGACGAAAUAUAUUGUUGGUCGCGCAAAGUUUUGCGCGACGAAACGUAUUGGUCUCGCAAGUUUUGCGCGACGAAUAUAGGAAUAUUGGUCUCGCAAAGUCUAAAAAAAAAUUAUUAUUUUUUUAAAAAAUUCCCGCAUCCCAUUUUUGGUACCCGCCACAAUUUAACUUUGCGCGACGAAAAAUAUAUAUUGGUCGCGCAAAGUCUAAAAAAAAAAAAAUUUUUUAAAAAAAUCCCGCAUCCCAUUUUUGGUACCCACCAAAAUUUAACUUUGCGCGACGAAUAUAGGAAUAUUUGUGGCGCAAAGUCUAAAAAAAAUAAUUAUUUUUUUUAAAAAAUUCCCGCAUCCCAUUUUUGGUACCCGCCAAAAUUUUUAAAUUUUUGCGCGACGAAAAGUACAUAUUGGUCGCGCAAAGUCUAAAACAAUUAUAUACAAAAAGUCCCGCGUCCCAUUUUUGGUACCCGCCCAAAUUUUUGCGCGACGAAAAAUAUAUAUUGGUCGCGCAAAGUUUUGAGCAACAAAAAAUAUUGGUCGCGCAAAGUCUAAAGUUUUUUAAAAAUAAUUAUAAAAAAAAAACCCGCGUCCCAUUUUUGGUACUCGCCCAAAUUUUUUGAUUUUGCACGACGAACUGUUGGUCGCGCAAACUUUUGAGAGACGAAAACGUAGCACAAUAUUUAUAAAAAUAAUUAUUUUUGAAUAAGAAAAAAUAAAAAAUAAUUAUGAUUUAAAAUAUAAUUAAGGUGAAAGCUACUUAAUAAAUGUAUAUACUAUUCAAUUUCUUAACACGUACAAAAUAAAUAAAUUUAAAGCUAUUUAAUAAAAAUAUAUAUAUACACACACCAUUCAACGAUCCAACCGUAAGACUUGUUUGUAUAUACUUCAAGAUCGUAUAACCCAAAAAUCGCAAAAAACAAAUAUUCAGAGAUCUAGUAACGGGACAAAACUUUUCGAUAGUUAUAAAUGAAAAAUCACGAUUUAACGGUUAUUUUAACUCCGAUUUUGAUGAUUUUUUUACAGCUACACUCCUUGACCCUAUAUGAAUACAAUGACUGAAUUUGAUCUUCAAUUUAAAACAUUUGCACUAGUGGAUACCACAAAAUCUUAUGUUAUAUUUAACGAAAGUAUAAAUAAACUCUUAAUUGUUAGUGAAUAUAUUGUUUUGAUGGCAUACACAUUCUACGAAACUAGUUUCAACGAUCCAACCGUCAAACUUGUUUGUUUAUACUUCGAGAUCAUAUACGCAAAAAUCGAAAAAAAUAAACAUUCAGAGAUCAAGUAAAGGAACAAAACUUUUCAACAGUUAUAAAUGAAAAUUCAUGAUUUAACGGUUAUUUUAACUCCGAUUUUGAUGAUUUUUUACAGCUACACUCCUUGACCCUAUAUGAAUACAAUGACUGAAUUUGAUCUUUAAUUUAAAAUAUUUACACUAGUGGAUACCACAAAAUCUUAUGUUAUAUUUAACGAAAGUAUAAAUAAACUCUUAAUUGUUAGUGAAUAUAUUAUUUUGAUGGCAUAUGCAUUCAAAUAAACUAGUUUCAACGAUCCAACCAUCAAACUUGUUUGUUUAUACUUCGAGAUCAUAUACGCCAAAAAUCAGAAAAAAUAAACAUUCAGAGAUCAAGUAAUGGGACAAAACUUUUCGACGGUUAUAAUGAAAAAUCACGAUUUAACGGUUAUUUUAACUCCGAUUUGGAUGAUUUUUUACAGCUACACUCCUUGACCCUAUAUGAAUACAAUGAACUAAUUCGAUCGUCAAUUUAAAAUAUAUAUUUUCUAACAAAAACCCAAUCCGAACAACAAUAAUAUAUUUUUCUAACAAAAAUCCGAUCCGAUCUAAAAUAAUAAAUUUAAAGCUACUUAAUAAAUAUAUAUACCGUUUAAUUUCUUAAGUGUUAUGCAUACAAAAUAAAAAACAAAAAUAAAUUGGUUUAGGUGACAAAAUGUUUGGAUUACGUCAUGCAAAGAUUUUAAAAAAAUAAUUUUUUUAUUUUAUUUAUUUUUAUAAGGACUUUGCGCUACGAAGUUUACUUUUCGUCGCGCAAAGUCACUUUGAGCAACGAAUUAUUUUUCGUCGCGCAAAAUUGGUCGCGCAAGACUUUGAGCGACGAUGUAUUGUCGUUGCGCAAAAGUUUGUCGCGCGAAGUGACUUUGCGCGACGAAUUAUUUUUCGUCGCACAAAAUUUGGUCGCGCAAGACUUUGAGUGACGAAGUUUCAAGUUUCGUCGCGCAAAGUGACUUUGAGCUACGAAUAGUUUUUCGUCGCGCAAAAUUUGGUCGCGCAAAGGGUUUUUUUUACUAGUGUACGUUAGACACGAGGGUAUUCCUUCAAAUAGAGACGUGGAUAACUUUUUUUAUGUCAGCGUUUAUGUAGUUCUUGAUAUGUAACAUUCUUUAGACGUCUCUGUUUUUUAAAAACCGUCGUAUAAUGUUGUCGAAGUUUUCUUUUUAUGCUAUUUAUAUAUUAAUUAGACGUCGGUUAUUAUUUUGGUAUGAUGUUGAAUGUCUUAACAACGUCGGUAAUUUGCCGUCGUUGUUUUAUGUAUCAAAAGAUGGCGGUCGAUUUCAUGACGGUUUGAAAACCUUCUUGACGAUGAGAAUUCUCGUCGUCUAUUUCAAUUUUUGUAGUAAUGAUAUAUAUAUGCAUUUGAAAACUAAUUAAUAGAGCUUUUUAGUGAAAUUUAUAUCUCAAUUGGUUCAUACUUAAAAAAUUAAUUGUGAUUGCAGCUUUUAUUGUUUUUGUCAUGAAUUACGAAUGAAAGUACUAUUUUUUAUUUUUUUUUAGUGUUAUUUUCAUCUUAAACAAAUUUCUGAACUUUUACACCACCAACUCUUGAGGUAACAAUCAGGUAUUGAUGAUAGUAAAGACUAGAAGUUAACAUUCACCUGAAAAUUUUAAGAGGACUAGAGAAGUUUAUAAGGAGCUCUCAUAUCAAAGAAUGAGUAACAAAGUUUGCCUAGAAAUUAAUAGCCCAAAAUUUCAUAAACAUCGACUUUAUUUCAAGAAUAAGAUACACACGACAAAAAAUUAAGCAUUCCCUUGUGCAUCUUAAAAUAUAUUCUUCGUCUCUAUGGAAUUAAUAAGGCCAAACAUCCCAUGUGCGCGAUGAUGAUCCUUAGCAAUUCAUCUUAUUGCCAAACAAGGCAUGUUGGCUAGGAAGUUAUUUUCAUAUUAAUAUGGAGAUUUUAUGGUGUUUGCCACAUCAAUGACAAAGCGGUACUUAACAUCAGCCUUGGCAACUCAAGGGCAGUGUUCACAUAAUCCAUUGGAAUAACUUCAACAUCUGCUGUGAUAUUGUGCUUUGCUGCAAAGUCUAUCAUCUCUUGGGUCUCUUUCAUUCCCCCAAUUGCACUGCCAGCAACAAGCUUCCUCCCUAGUAAUUAAAUCACAGAAUUUAGUUUAUUUUGGUCUUAGAGAUAGAGUUUAGAUUACGCUGAAAAAAAAUAGUAAUGAGCAAAACUAGGCCGAAAAUAAAAUGAACUUACCCAACAGCUUCCUUCUUCUUAUUGGGGGAGGUACUUAUCACAGUAACUUUUGCUCCAACAGCUUUGGCAAACUUCACGGCCAUAUGGCCAAGGCCACCAAGCCCCACCACACCCAAAUGCUUACCAGGCUCCAUCAGUCCAAAGUAUCUCAUAGGGCUGUAAACUGUGAUCCCAGCACACAGCAUUGGGGCAGUACCUUGUAGUGGAAGGUUUUUGGGGAUUUGAACGACGAAGUGCUCAUCGACUACUAUCUUGUCGGAGUAUCCACCGAAGGUUCUUGAUCCGUCUUCGUGGUGUUUGUUGUAGGUCCACACCAUUUUGGGGCAGUAGUUUUCCAGGUCCUGUGUACAGUUGUCGAAUGAGCGACAUGAACCCACCAUGCACCCAACUCCGGCUAUGUCUCCUACUUUGAAUUUUGUGACAUUGCGCCCCACCUUUGUCACUUCUCCUACAAUCUCGUGUCUGCAAAAUUUCGAUGAAAAUGCAUAUUAUUUUCCGAGUUAUUUUCAUGCCUUCUCAUUAUUUAUAGGGUGACAUUUGAGAUUAAACUCCAUGUACUAAGCUUAGUUGAACCAAUAAGUUAAAUAAUGUACCCUGGGACAAUGGGAUAUAUGGUCAUUCCCACUUCGUCCUUAGCGAGGUGAAGGUCUGAGUGGCAAAUUCCACAAUAGAGUAUCUUCAUGCUGAUAUCAUUAUCACCAUUACCUCUGCAAGUACCCCAAAAAAUAAAAAAACCACACAAGUUUGGUGAAGCCUAUAUCUUAAGCAUUAAUAAUUCAAAAUGAGGUCUAUAGUAAGAUUUAGCGAAAUGGUGUGGAAAGGAAAGAACAAGUAACUCAAAUACCUCCUGGUGAAGUGGAAGGGAGAAAGAACACCAGAGGAAUCUCUAGCUGCCCAUCCAUAGGCUUUCACUGCUUGUUCUUCGGCCCCUGUUAAUUCUUGAGACAUUAUUGUACCUUAAUCAAUAUUGUGUAUGAUCUGUAUGUGUACCUUGAGAGAAUUGAAAUGAGGCAGAGUGUUGUGGUGUCUUGGUUGGGGGUUUACGAAGAGAUAUGGUUGGGUAAGCUUCAAGAAAGAAAGUAAUGCACCAGUUGGCGGAAAUAUUAUAUCAUAUGCAUAUUUGAAACUGUGAGAAUCAGCAAUGACGUAGUGCGAUCGACUUGCCGGCCAUGUAUGAAUUUUCUGCUCCUACUUUUCAAACCAUUUUAAAAGUUUUUACCCCAUCCUCAAGCCAAAGAACAUGCGUUGACCAAAUCAACGGAGCCACCAAGACAAAAUUAUGUAAGGGGAGAAGAAAAACCACAAGUCUUAAUUGGAAGAGUCUUGCCUCUUGGAACAUAUUUGAUUACCUUAUGAAGAUAGAGGCAUCCACAGGGAGAGGAUUAAAUCGAGAGAGGAGAUCAGUUUAGGAGGAGAUCGGUUGGAGUGAAUCUCAUUUAUUUUUUUUAUCUGCUAAAAGUGUAACGUUGGAUUUAAUAUCUAGUUUGGAGAUUCUCUUAGUUUGUUGGCCUCUUGGAAUCGGUGGUGUAGAUGUCAUGUUGAUGUAUUUGAUUGUAUUAUUAAAGUUUAUCUAAUGAAAUUUCUGUUUGAUAAAAAAAAAAUUGUUGGAUCUGAUCUUAUUUCUAAAGGGGAUUAUUUAUAUACAUACACACAUAUGUUAUAACAUCAAUUUUUAAAGAUAUGUUAUGUAUAGGCAUAUAUAACUCUCUCAAUCUUGGUGAAAAUUGAUCCAACAAUUAUAUAUGCGAGCAUCUUUAAGAGAAUCUCCAAGGGAGAUGUCAAAUAUGAAACAUUAAAUUUGAAUUUGAUGGCUUAUGUUGUAAUUUGAUAUAUAAUAAAGUUUUACAUUCCACCUGAUAUCUCAAAUUAAAAUAUUAUUUUAUUAUAUGAGGAUUGAUUGAUUUAUUAUUUUCUAGUCAUAUUAAUUAAAAAUAAUAAUUAAAUAAUUAAAUAACAUCACAAAGUCAAACAUAAAAAAAAUUACAGCAGAAUGGAGACAUUAUUCCACUUUGAAUUUAAGGAGAUGCUUCAUCAUGAUUAUUUAUGGUUUUUGCCACAUCAAUGACAAAACGAUACUUAACGUCACCCUUGUCAAGUCGGUCAAGGGCAGUGUUCACAUAAUCCAUUGGAACAACUUCCACAUCUGCUGUGAUAUUGUGUUUUGCUGCAAAAUCUAUCAUCUCUUGUGUCUCUUUUAGUCCUCCCAUAGCACUACCCGCAAUAAGUUUCCUCCCUGUUUUUUUACCCACCAAAAAAAAAACAAACAAACAAACUCCCGAUAUCAAUUACAUCAAUUUGAAAUCACUAUUUUGUGAAAAAAAUAAUAAUAAUAAUAACCAAAUAACAAGAAAGCAGAAAAAAAUUAAUAAUAAUAAUAAGGGAAGGGAAAUUACGUACCCAUAAUUAUAGGAAAGACUGGUAGCUCAGGAGGCUGAAUUGGAGCACCCACCAAAAUUAGUUUUCCACUAGUCUUGAGCAAACCAAUCAAAGGCAAGAGAGGGUGAGGGGAUGAAACGGUGUCAAUGAUACCAUCCAUAGUUCCCAUGGCAGCCUAAAAAUAUUAUAUGAAAAUUAGUAUUAUACUGAACACAUUGGCUUUUUUUCUUUGCGCUUGAGGGCAAUGUAAACAAUUUUUUAAUAAAUAAAAAAACUUAUUAAUUACCUCUAGUUGCUCCUGAUCAUGACUGACCAAAAAAGAAUCAGCACCAAGCCUUUCCACUGCUUCCUUCUGCUUGCUUGGAGAAGAACUUACCACCGUGACCUUCACACCAAACGCUUUGGCAAACUUCACGGCCAUGUGACCUAGGCCGCCAAGCCCGACCACACCCAAGUGCGUGGUGGACUUCGAGAGGCCAAAAUGUUUCAGGGGGCUGUACACGGUAAUCCCGGCACACAACAAUGGGGCAGUACCAGCUAAUGCAAAACCAUUUGGGAUUAGGACUGCAUAGCGCUCCUCCACAACCAUGUUAUCAGAAUACCCACCAAAGGCUCUUGUCCCAUCUUCAUGCUGUCCUUGGAAGGUCCAUAACAUUUUGGGACAAUAAUUUUCCAAGUCUUGUUUGCAGUUAUCGCAUGAGCCACAUGAACCUACUAUGCACCCCACUCCGGCUAUAUCCCCAACUCUAAAUUUAGUGACAUUUUUCCCAGUUCUUGUCACUUGCCCCACAAUCUCAUGCCUACAAAAAUCAUCAAAAAAAGAAAAGAAAAAUUUAUUCAUUAAAUUUUACAAUAUAGUGUAAUCCAGCUUCAUCACCUGAAAAGAAAUUUUACCCGGGGACAGUUGGAUAGAGGGUCGGCCAUAUUUUGUUCUUGACCAGAUGAAUGUCUCCAUGGCAAAUUCCACAGUAGAGUAUCUUUACGGUGAUAUCAUCAUCGCUGUUAGCUCUGAACACAAAAGCAUGCAACGAUCGUCUUGUUAAGUAAAAAAUUAAGCUAGUUUUAGCGCAAAUACGAUAAACCAAAUUGCCCAUCGUAGAUAAAAGAUUUCGAGUCUCUCCAUCCAUUAACAAUUGGUUUUACGUACGUUGAUUAUGAAAAAAGAAAAAGUUUGAGUUACCUCCGAGUGAAGUGAAAGGGGGAGAGAACUCCCGAGGAAUCUCUAGCAGCCCAUCCAUAGGCAUUGACAGGUGAUUUUGCUUCAGAUGCUGCUUUAGUCAUUGGCCCUAUGUUGAGAGAUUGAUGAAAGACGUGAAAGCUAGCUCCAAUUUACCGAAGAUUAAAAGUUGUUUUGGAUUUGAGAUGAGUAUAUAUUUAUAGCAAUAAUUUCGCAGGAUUAGAAUGUAGAAGUAUAUGCAACAGAUGUGUUAAGCAAUGACGUUUUUUCUACCUACUUUUCAAAACCUUUACCUUCUUAUGAUGUGUAUGAGAGAUUCAAACUCCGAAAAUGGACUUAAGUGUUGGAUUUUGAUAUUUAUUUUAUUAUAAGAUUCAAACCUUUAUUAUUAGUUUAAAUAAUAAUAUGAAGAGUAAUAACUGUUGGAUUCAAAAGGACAGUAAUAAUCUUUUAUUAAAGAUUUUCGUGAAGUCAUGUCUCAUGUAAAUGAGAAAUUUUUGUAUCCUUGUAGUCUUCUCUUACUUUUCUUCUAUUAAUGGACAAUCUGAUAAACUCUUGGCAUCCCGGUUACAGUGCAUCUCUUGACAUCACAUGUCAGAUCUUUCUAGUUCGAUUUUUGUUUUAUAUAAUGGUUUAUAUUUUAUAUCAAUAAACAUUCACUGCAAACUGUAUCAUAAACAUGUCACGUGGCAAAACACUUAGGUCUUGCUCAUUAAUUUAACUCGAGAUAUAUCAUCGUCAUCAUUCUCAACACUUGACACAUAUCCAUGUAUAACCAUUGUUUUAUAAAUACAAAGUAAAAAAGUUAACUAUGGUUAUGCCUAUGGACAUAUGUCAAGUAUUAAAAAAUGUGAUAAUAAUACACCUUAGGUUAAAGCGGUGAACAAAAAUAUUUCAGUUUUGAGUUUAACUUGCUAAAACACCCAACCCUAGUACUCUUGGCAUCCCGAUUAUUGUGCCCAUUCUAAUAGCGUACCUCUUAAUUCUGAAAUUUAGAAAUUAGGGAGUAUCAAUAACAAAUCAGGAAGUUAACGACUUGCUUUAAAAUAAAUUAAAUACAAAAUAUGACGAUAGAUCGCAUAUAUUGUAAUUUAGUUAAUAAUAAUAGGGCAUAUUGAAAAUGGUACUCAGGUGACGAGGGGUAAUUUAAAUGACACAACCAGGACACAAUGACCUUCACACACUUUAGAACUUGACCAAGCACACUUAUGACUAGUCAACUGAUAGUCAUAAACAAUCACAAUCAAGAUUGCACACAAAUCAUGCCACAAGGUACCUGCAACACUAGAAGAUUACUAGUGACAACCUAGGCACUCAGAAGGACCCGUCAAUCUAGGCGUCCCCAGUGCUAGCAACAACUAUAGUGAAAGUGUGUGAAAUCAUCUUAAUCAAGUAAACAGCAAACAUCAGAUACAGCUAACUAGUCAACUACCAAGAACAUAAACCCAGAAAAAUUACAGAUAUGCAAAGCAGAAUUUGUUCACCCAGAAACCCACCAUUGGGAAAAACUGGGGGUCAUCAACCGACCAGGCAAUCCACUAAGUAGAAAAAGAUUCUUACAAAGGAAACACAAUCAAGCUCAAGAAACACCUAGGUCUAUUUAGGUAGAUGAGCAAUACCUCCUUCAUGCAAUCUUCUUCUCCAACUUAGCAAAGCUUGAAGCUCAGUUCAUCAUGGCAAUGGCAGCUCCUUCUCCAGCUCGUUCAUCCCAUGGCACUAGCUUACAAGCUCCAACUCAAACUGAAACCAGAAUUUGGAUUCAAAAGAGAAUGAACAAUUUCUUCAAGAAACCAUACUCUUGAAUAAAUCAAUCUUGAAUCUGACCUAGAUAUAUAUGAGAGUGUUUGAUCUAGCAAGAUGAGGUUUUCAUAUUUCAAAUGCAGUUUUCAAAAGGAAACAUUUUGGAAAACUCAAAGAUGAAAAAUAUGAAGGUUACACUUGAUGAAGAAGAGAAAGUUUACAAAGAAACUUUCCAAAACUUGCCUACAAAAGUGACGGCUCCAAAAGAGGAAAUUGAUAGCCUUUAAAGACAAAAAUUCCCUUAGGUCAGAAUACCCACAUGGCAGCAGAGAGAGAAAGGAGAAUAGGACAAAAAGGUUUGUUAUCCAGCUAGAAAUCCUACAGAGUAAGGAUGACUAGCCAUACGAGAAACAGAUGACUAGUCAUCAUUUUAUAAAAACAGUUUUAAUGCCAUGAUAUGCAAUGCAUACUUACCUUUGUCAAAUUGCUUGAAUCUUCAUAGGAUAGUUGUUAGUUAAGAACACCUAGAGAAGCUAUUCUUAAUCUAAGCUUGAGCUUGAUAAACAUAAUAAAAAUCCUAUUACAAAAUUGUCAAGGGAAGCCAAAAGAAAUAACUCAAAAUAAAUACAUUAACACAUAUAUAUCUUACAAGUUUGGGUUUUAGUUAGAUGUUUAAAAAUAUGUGAGUUUAUGUCUAGGAUAUAAAAGUUGCAGGGUAUCUAUGUAGAAAGCACACCAUAAAAAACAGAUGAACAAUUUCAUUUACGGCGUGCACUGAAUGCACGUCACACCAUAAAUACUGAUCUCAUACGGCGAGCGUUGAAUGCACUGUGUAAAUGAUGCGCCGUAAAUACUUAGUUUUCUUGUAGUGUAUGAGAAGAACCCAAGACGACACAUCGAAAUUGAUGGUUUAUUUCAAACACCGAAAAAAAAAUAAAGAAAUGAGCGUAUGUAAGUGAAUCGGGAAGGGAUGCUUGAGCACACAAAAAUAACCAAACAGCCAAGAUAAUUUUAUUCAACUAAAGAAGGGAACAUAUGCUUGAAAUAAGAGAUGACAAUCUAGGCUGGGUAGGGGGAGAUGACGAUCCAGGCUAGUGGGGGAGGAGCCCCCCUACCUAGCCAACUUAAGGAUCUUAGAUAAAAAUGUUAACUAAAUAAUAUUAUGCAAUAGGGUUGAAAGAAAAUCAACAUAAGCAAUGGCAAUGAUGAUGGUCGCCAAAUAGUUUGCAGAUGCCUCCUUUCUCACAACCUGAAGUGCAAAAUUUUCAGCAUUUUCCACCGUUUGGGUUGUCAUCCGCACCAGGGACACACUUUCCAAGUUCAGGAUGAUCAGUACAACACUUGGAACCUUCAACAGUUGCUAUCUUCCAAACUGAAAAUAAAAAAAAUAAAUAAAAACACUAUUAAUUAAUUCUUCAAAAAGAUUAUAAUCUUAGCGCGACAUGAACCAAAAAUAAAAAAAACAAAAUAGUAACAUUGACUUGUGCAAUAUAUAAAAUUAUAUUACAAAAUAUUUACGGAAAAAAUAAAUGUAAACAUGGGUUUAUGCACUUGAAUAAACCCUAGAUUCUUAGAUUAAUAGUAAUUAAAAUUGAUUCAAUAUGAGUUUUCUAUCGACUCAUACACUGAUAUGAUCAACCAAAAAGAAAAAAGAAAUAAUAAAAAACCCUAAUAGCUUGCAUGCAUGGACAUCUGUUUGACCAUAUAUAUAGGAGAUUGUAAAUACUUAAUUGAAAAGCCUAACUAAUAGGAAAAGAAUAAAAUAUAUAUGAUUGAAGAUCAUUGACAAGAGCACCAAAAUAAGGACGAAACAAGGGAUUGUAAAUUUGGCCAUCGUUUUUUUCUAGAAUUCACUUCACUUGUUCUGCUAAAAAGUUGAGACGAUGUGCGAUUUAUAUAGAGAAUCAAAAUAUAUAAUCAUAAAUAUAUAAUUACGUUCAAAAUAUAUAUGGUAUUUUUAGGGAAUUAAUUGACCUUAAUUACGUGGUUACAAAUGCUACAAAUAUAUAUAGCUGAGUUGACUUUUGAGAAUUAAGCCUAGUCUUCAAUCACGUCGGCUGCAAAACUAGGAAAUGAAACGCAUACUUUCUUUCUUUUAUAGGGUUUUUAUUAUUAUUUCAAAAUCAAUUAUCUUUCCUUUCAAGAUGCAUGCUAGUUAUUCCUCGUAGUAGUAUGAUACUUCUCCGUAGGAUAGGAUCAUUUUUGUUCUUGUAAUUUGCUUCACAAUAACGUUUCCGUUUCUUCUAUAAAAAGUAGAAAAAGAAAAUAGUACCAAAAUCAAGCAGAAAUUAUAUCUUUUCCAGCUCUUCUGGUACCAAAGAGGAUGAUGCUGCCGUCUAGCUUUUUCAAAUCCCAAACAACCAACUAUAAUUUCAACCAUUGAACAAGCUUUUUCAAAUCUCAAUUUGCAAUAUUGAUAAAUAGUUGUUUGGGAUUAUUGAAAAUUGAAAUUUUAAGAAUUUAUGUGUUUCGCAUCUAAAUGAGGAUUGGAUUGGCUCUAGUUUGGUUGUAUUUAUGUGUUCUGUAAUUUUCUUGCUCUGUUGCUUGUUAUUUUUGUUCUUCUUCUAGGAAUUUUUGCGAGUAUUUCAAAAUACAAAAAGAAAUUUUAUUACUUAAUUAUGUUGAAUUGAAUUUUCCAAAUGGUUUGGUUUGUUUAUCUAUUUAAAACUGAAAUUAUUUUAUGUAUUUAUUAUAUAUAUGAAUUUAUUAUAUUAUAUGUGUUAAUAUCUAUUUGAUUGGGUUUUAAUUUUGUGUUAUUGUUGUGGUCUUAUAAUUGCUUUUAAUAUCACAGUCCUGAUCUCUUGAACUACAGGAGUCCAAAAGAUUUGUGGUCACUCACCGUUGGAUGUAAAUUCACCGUUGGAUGUAAAUUUAACAGUUCACUCACUCUUGCACUCUUUUUAAGAAACUUUUUUGAACCAUUGGAUUAAUAUCUAACGGUGAGUGAUCACAAUCUCUUGAACUCCUGUGGUCCAAGAUAUCGAGACUCUUAAUAUCAUUUCCAUACCGUUGGCAUCUAAAUAUUUGAGUCCAAAAAUUACUUGUGUCAGUUUUGGUUGACCAAUUUCUGUUUUGCAUUUGCUAUAUUGGUUUUGCCAACUAACUUAAAAAUUUUAUAGCUAUUAAUUUCUGAAAAAUGGGCAGAACUUUUAAUGUUCUUUAUUACAAUUGGUUUAAUGCCUUUGAGAAGCAACCAACUAUAAAAAGCCUUAUUUUAGAGUAUGAGAAAAACGUUGGAGCAACAUUGGCACCUUUCUCCAAUUUGUUUUCUUUUAUCAGGAGAAAGAUUUGAGUUGUUUAUUCGAUCCAAGUACAUUGCGAGUGUAUACAUAUGAGGGUCAUAAGUUGUUGUAUUCAGGAGGGUAGGCCGCCAUACAACUUUGCUACAUCGAGGCAUUGUCUCUGAGGGGCAAAAUUUACAUUAAAAUCCAUAAUUUAAUAUAUGAAAAUCCAAGAAUUAGAUUGAUUAUGUGGUUUGGAUCAUUGAAAAAAAUUUCGUAGGGAACCUUAUAAAGUGUCCCUCAAAAGAAGGGGACUAUAUAUAUAUAGUUCUUUUGUAUCGGUGUGUAUUAUUGUUGAACUUUUUUUUGAGAUGUUUUUACUUGUAUUGAUAACAAAGCUAUAAUGCAACGUUUUCAUGAUUAGAAAAAUUAGUUGUGGUUAUAGCUUGUAUUGUGUUUAUACCACGUGACUAUAAUUACCCGAUGAUGACAGUAAAAUGAAAAAUUAAUACUUAAUAAUUACCUCUAGUUGCUCCUGAUUAUGACUGACCAAAAAAGAAUCAGCACCAAGCCUUUCCACUGCUUCUUUCUUCUUAAUGCAAAACCAUGGGGUAGUACCAGCUAAUGCAAAACCAUUUGGGAUUAGGAUUGCAUAGCGCUCUUCGACAACCAUGUUAUCUGAAUAUACCCACCAAAGGCUCUUGUCCCAUCUUCAUGAUGUCCAUUGAGGGUCCAUAACAUUUUGCAAUGUAUAUCAUUUCAAUAGAUUUACAAUCUUUUGUAUUGAUUGAUAUAUUAUUCCAAUAAAUUUGCAAUGUAAUUUUUUUUGGGUUCAAAGAGUAAAUAAUAAUAAAAGGUUGUGGGGGCUUUUUCUUUUCGGCAACUAUGGAUGGGUCUGGGUUGCUGUAAAGAGCAAAUAGAUGGAUCUGCCCUUGUGUCUGAGUUCAAGGAUGAGAGGUGAUGCUUGCUCUCUCUGGAUGAUGUGUGUUGUCACAUCCCGGGAUCGACUCCGCCGUAGCACGAUAUUGUCCGCUUUGAGCCACCCUCUCUGCCCUCACAGUUUUGUUUCUGGGAACUCACGAGCAACUUCUUAGUGGGUCACCCAUCUUGGAAUUGUUCUAGCCCCAACUCGCUUAACUUCGGAGUUCCCAUGACUCCAAAGCCAGUGAGCUCCUAAAAGGCCUCGUGCUAGAUGGAGGUGGGCAUUUACAUAUAAGGCACAUCACCCCCUCUCCGUUGGUUGAUGUGGGAUGUUACAAUCCACCCCCCUUAAUUAUCACAUCCUGAGAUCGACUCUGCCGGAGAACUAUAUUGUCCAUUUUGGGCCAUCCUCUCUACCCUCACGGUUAGUUUCUAGGAACUCAUGGGCAACUUCCUAGUGGGUCACCCAUUUUGGGAUUGCUCUAGCCCUAACUCGCUUAACUUCGGAGUUCCUAUGACUCCGAAGCUAGUGAACUCCCAAAAGGCCUCGUGCUAGAUGGAGGUGGGCAUUUACAAAUAAGGCACAUCACCCCUCUCCUUUGGUUGAUGUGGGAUGUUACAAUUUACCCCCCUUAAUUGUCACAUCUCGAUAUCGACUCUGCCGGAACACAAUAUUGUCUGUUUUGGGCCACCUUCUCUGCCCUCACGGUUUUGUUUUUGGGAACUCACGGGCAACUUCCCAAUGGGUCACCCAUCCUGGGAUUGCUCUAGCCCCAACUCCCUUAACUUCGGAGUUCCCAUGACUCCGAAGCUAAUAACUCCCAAAAGGCCUCGUGCUAGAUGGAGGUGGGCAUUUACAUAUAAAGCACAUCACCCCAUCUCGUGCUAGAUGAAGGUGGCCAUUUACAUAUAAGGCACAUCACCCCAUCUCCGUUGGUUGAUGUGGGAUUUUACAAUCCACCCCCUUAAUUGUCACAUCUUGAGAUCAGCUCUGCCAAAGCACGAUAUUAUCCGUUUUAGGCCACCCUCUCUGCCCUCACGGUUUUGUUUCUGGGAACUCACGGACAACUUCCCAGUGGGUCACCCAUCCUGGAAUUGCUCUAGCCCAACUCACUUAACUUCAGAGUUCUUAUGACUCCGAAGUUAGUGAGCUCCCAAAAGGCCUCGUGCUAGCUAGAGGUGAGCAUGUACAUAUAAGGCACAUUACCCCCUCUCCGUUGGUCGAUGUGGGAUGUUACAUGUGUGAUGAUAGGUAGGAGAUGCCCUUUUUUUAUAGGGGUUGGAAGCUCCUUCUUCCCAAGAAACCCUAGCUGGUUCCUCCCCAAUCUGCCAAGUCUUCUCUUCCCUUUCUCUUUUCCUCCUUCGAUUCAUCCUCAUUUUUGUGAAAUCCUUCUCAGUCCAAACACACAUAGACAAGAUUUUUGGGAGCUCUAGAGCCUUCAUGCAGCUGUUCCAGUGGCUAUCUCCUAUCUUUGGCUAUUACCUUACCUUCUUUCCUCCCAUAUUUCAUGGCAAGAGCUAGUGGGAGAAAUAAAAUGGGUAAGGGCGUUGGUCUAAAUGGUGCUUUUUCUCCUAACAACCUGCGCGCGCUAAUAUCCUUUGGUUUUUUGAAUGAUCUACCUUGAGGUUUGCUUUGGCCACGUGUUGGAGUCUCCCAGCCGUCUACAUAUAUGGGCAACCCUUGGACCUUGUCGUGGUUUUGGUCUCCAGCCACGUGCUGGAGACUUUCAGAUAUUUUCUUGGUCAUAUGGGCAUUCUUAGGGUGAUGGGUUAGUCUACUAAGGGAAUGUGCCAACUUCUUAAAGUGAUGGACAAUUUUUAUUAAGGUGAUUAACCAAUUUUCUAAAGUAAUGGACUACCUUUUUGUGUCUUUUAUGCUUACCCACAUAUUUGGGCUCAAGAAAUGAGCUCGAGUUUUGGGGCUCCCAAGUAGCCCAAAACUUCCAUUUCUUGGCUCAUCAAUGGGCCUCAUGAAUGCUCAUUACCAUCCAUACCACAACCCACUUAGCAAUCCCAGAGCAUUUGCGUGGCUUGGGCCCACUUAAGUUUGUAGCGUGGCUAAGUGUAAAAUAAAGGGUUUUUCGCUUUGCAUGACAUGUCGAUUGGUGUGCUCAUGCUCGAAUUUCAUCGUAUUGUAAAGGACUAUGGUCGAGUCAAAACGGCGCUUGGCGGAAUAAUUAGCAUGGGUUCAUAAAGCCGGUGCAUUUUAUAGGCUUGCUACAACUCUUAGCGUGACAAGUUACACAUUUGCUUGGUGUGGCACGUCGAUCGUGACUCGUGCCAGAGUGUAUGACGAACUUUCGUGAGCCCAAAUCAGAUUUCUUCUUAGUAAGGUAUCGCAUUAGGCCGGGAAUAUAUUUGUACCUAGCUUUGGAUUUUUUGGGCCUCAACAAAGGUAAAUUGCCAUAGAAAAAGGUGAGUAGCAUAACUUAUACUUUAGGGACAUUGCAAGUCAAAAGUUCUUAUCUCGAUAGUUAAUAAAUUUCACCAGCCUUGUCUAUAAUUUUUACCCGGGGACAGUAGGAUAGAGGGUCGGCCAUACUCUAUUCUUGACCAGAUGAAUGUCUCCAUGGCAAAUUGCAAGAGUAGAGUAUCUUUAUGGUGAUAUCAUUAUUACCGUUAGCCCUGUACACAAAAUACGCAACAAUCCUCAUAUAUCAGAAAUUACAAGUCAUGCAUAAUACAUAGUUUAAAAGAUUUUGAGCCUCUCCAUUUAUUAGCAAUUGGUUUUAUCUUAUGUAGUUGAAUGUCAAAAAAAAAAACGAAGAGGUUGAAUUUAUUACCUCCUACUGAAGUUAAAGGGGGAGAGAACUCCUGAGGAAUCUAUAGCAGCCCAUCCGUAGGCAUUGACAGGUUGUUUUGCUUCAGCUGCUGCUUUAGACAUUGUCCCUAGCUCCAAUUUUCCGAAGAUAUCAAGUUGUUUUUUAUUUGAGAUGAUGACAUGCAUAUAUUUACAGAAUGAAAGAUCGAUACAUCUUCAAUGAAAUCAUAUUAUUUUUUGAGCUAAGAACUAGUACAAAGAUUAGGUCAAAAUGGACUCUUUUACCAAACUGUCGGCAAUAAUUGGCCAAAUUCUGAUACAAAUGUUUCAGUUUUUUUUUUUUGGUUUGUUAAAAUAAUAAUAACGAGUGCAAUAUGUUAAAAUCAAGGUGAGACGGUUUAUAGUUAGCUUGUAAGUUUCAUUAGACGUGAGUUAGGCCAGUUGAUGAAUGCAGUAAACCUAUUCCUUUGCACUCAACUUUAAUUUAGAAUAGUCUAGCGCUUGUAUUUAAAGUAAAAUAAAAACCACUUAAGUUUAAUGCAAAUUGCUACUAGGUCCAGAUGCUUCUACAAUUUGGUUUGUUUCAUUUGUCAAAAGCAGCCCAUAUGGAAGAUGCCAGUCCAAGACGCUGCGUUUUGCGUGCUGUUUUAUUUUGUCGCAAAGUGCCACGGAACGGAAGAGAGGCUGGGUGAGCCUUCUAAUUUAAAGCUGCUACUACCACAAUUAAUUAAUUUUCCGUUUGGUUCCACGGAAAGAAACUAAAGCAAAAUUUAGAAAACCAAUUAUAAUAAACCAAAACUAUGGUUUUGACGCCUGUUUAUGAUUCACUUAUGUAUAUUCUUAAUGCUUCUUUCAUUGUUUGUUCAUAUAUGUAUCUAUGCAUUUGUAUUUCAGUUGUUAUUAUGACCUACUCUUGCUAGUUCUGUGUGAAAAUUGUCGUGUGGUUACAAUGCACACCAACUGUUCGAUGAAAAGAACUUCUAUAACAACACUAGGAUACAUGCAUGCAUGGUAUAAUUGAAUGGAAGUACGGUAUAUUGGAAAAUAGAAUUCCUUUUUUAAAAAAACCCUUUUGAAAGUAAUGAAAUCCUAAUCCCUGGAUAAGAUAAAUGCUCUGAGUUAUCAAGGGUAAAAGCAGCAGCAUUCUUGUUGAAAAUGGACUCUGCGUCUGUUAACAUGAAACAUUUUGUUCCUUUAGAUAUUGGUUAAAGUUAAUUAUUACAUUUCAUAAUCUUCAUUCCCCUGUUAUUUAGGUGCUCUGAUUGAGAUUGGUAGAGGGUGUUUCUGCAGCCAUGUCUGCGACCAAGAUUCGGACAAGUUGCUUCUCUCCCAACUUUGUAGCUGCAAACUCACCUCAAUUCCCUGGACUCAUGCGUGGUCCUAAUGGCACAAUGUUCAUUUCAUCUGGGAUACUGGAACUUGACAGUAAUCUUCUAUCACUAAUAGUUUAUCGGCAAUAGUUAAACCAAGCUGAGGUGAUUAAAUUGGAUUUUGUUUUUUUAAAAUUAUUGUACCCUUUUAUUUAUUUUAUUUGUAGAAGUUUUAUAAGGUUGUCUUUGGUUUGUAGAGAUUUUAGGUGAUGGAAGAUGCAGAAGUUUCUCAUCAUAUGCUUUUGAUUAGAAAUUUUAUGUCUCAAGGACUCGUUCACAACCAACCCCUUCUCUGUGCAAGCCCAUCCAAGGACCCAAGACAGUUUCUCGGUACUUUGCCUUGUCCAGCUUUACCCAAAGAUGAUAAGUCUAGUCAUCGAGAUCCUGAUCAGGUUGUUCUCUUCUUCCAUUCUUCUCUCCAUGUAUUUGUUCAAUAAUUCUGUUUGUAGGUGAACAUUAGGAAAUUUAUAAUUUCUUUUAUUAAUUUUCAGGAGAAAGGGUUGAGAAUAGCUUGGCAAUAUAAGAAGUAUUUUUGGGAAAAUCAGCAGAGUUUUGAUAGUCAAGGUGGCAAGUUUGUCCUUAUUUUAUUUAGUAUGAGAUAUGCCUCCUUCGCUCAUCAUAACUAGUUUAGAUUUCAAGAGCGGUUUGUUAUGUUGUCGUUGUCCAAAUAGAAAACAUGAGUUCUGCAACGAAUUUGAUUUUGGGAAGCCAUUGGAGAGGUAAUUUCUAAGCGGGACGCGUAUUGAUUGGUUUAGCAUUCAAAGAGUCUCCAAAUCUUGUUGCCCUUCAUGACCAUUGCGCCACAUUUUAAUCUCAAUUUCCAAGGUAUGCUACUGUUGUCUUAUGUUUUCCUGCCUAGAGAUAUACUUAUAGGAUGUGACAUAUCUGGUUAGUAAAAUUAUAUGCAUGCCAAUUGGUUUUUCACAAUGUCAAACUAGCUUUGUUCAUUGUGGAGACGAAUUUUCAGUGAUUCUAUGUCAUGUUUAUGCGUGUGUACGUGUAUUUUAUGGUGGGACCAGUACAGAUUUCAUGAAAUUGAAUGUCUUUGGUAUUCAUUUUUGCAGCUUGUGCGAGGAAAUGAAACAAUUACAUUUAACCUUUUAUUUCUAAGAACUGUUUAUAACCUCUUUGAUCUUAAAAAAUCAAAUGAGAUUGCGGCCGGAUGUUGUAAUUCUCUUAGUUUCUUUUCUGUUUUUUUAAUGGUUCUUGUAUAUUUUAAGAAAAUCUGAAUUUGAGUCCUCAAGAGUUGUCAUUAAGACUCCACUACUUGGCGUGUAAUGAAACUAAUAAUCCAUAAGGUAUUUUUGGUGGCCAUGGUCAUAUGGUUUGUUUUCCUUUUUUUCUUCCUUUUCGUCUCUUUUUCUCUUUUUAAGUUUGAUCAUACAUUAUCUCCUUCUUUUGGCUGAAAAUACAGAACUGAUGACAGCAUUUCUUCUGUUGGUCGUAUUGCAAUUCAAUCAUUCUGUGUUCCACAAUGUGAAUAUUCCAACAUGGUUAGUGGAAAUUGUUAUUUGCUCUUCAACUUUAUAUUUGAUUUAGCCUCUGAGUCACAACUGCUUCUUGUUUCCCUUGCUUCAGUUUUGUUGUUAGGGCUCUGAAUAACUUCUCAUUUCAUUGCUGUUGGUCAAAGCAAUUCCAGGUUAAUAUCAGCUUUAACAUUUGUUUUUGUGCUAUCGAAUAUUUUGACAAUAAUAAUCUAUAAAGAAACAUUCAUUCAGACGGGGACAAGGAAUUGGAAAAGCUCCUUAACGGUAACAUGGUUGGCCUUCUCAAUGUGCACAAAGUUGCACGUAUUAAUACACAGGUAAUGUAAAACUGUACUUCACCCAUAUGAAUCAAAUUUUCCGUCUCUCUUUUUUCGUUGGAUGAAGUUAGCAUGUGAACUUGCCAUGAAUGUGUAAACAUGCACCUGCAUGACCCACCUUUUCACUUAGUCAUCCUUAGAACACCUUUGGUACUAUAGCUUUUUCUGCUAAUAUUUCCAUUACUAUGAACUUUUGGUUGAUUGUUAUUCAUAAUUUCUAAUGCGUCAUCAGGUUCAUGUGAUUCUUGAGUCAACAACCUUCUCAAUAAAUUUGAAAAAGCGGAGGUUUAUGGUUUUAGAAUGUCUAAACCAAGUCCCUAUCGAUGGUUCAAGUGGAAGUUCGUAUGGCACUUCUAGUAGUUGUUCUGUGUCCUCUAAAACUGGGACGCUUGAUUUUUAGCUCUCAACUUAUGACAUUCAUUUUAGAAAUGUCAUCGAUAAGAAAUGUCAUCUGGGAAUCAUCCAUCAGCCAUGAUUGCAUAUAACUCUCUGUGUGUUUCUACAAGAUGUUUGAUGAAGCAGUAGGAACAAUUAGAAUAUAGGAAGUUUUUAUUUCCCAAAUAAAAGUACGAAAACAAGGUGUUUGCUUUUCUCUAAUUUAAUACACCGCCGUUAUGCAUUAUUUACAUCUCUCUCUCUCUCAAAAAAUUAAGAUGUAGACUUUAGUGUGUUUCCAAUAUCGAUUACAAAUCGAUAUUUGACAUCGGAUUUGGCAAGACGUUCCAUGGCAGUGUUCAAAUAAUCAACCGGGAUAACCUCAAUGUCAGCUGUAAUGUUGUGCUUGACUGCAAAAUCUACCAUCUCUUGUGUUUCCUUCAUACCUCCAAUCCGACUCCCAGCUACCAUCUUCCUGCCUGUAAUUGCACCACGUGCAAAGGGUAAGACAAAAAAUAUCAACAGGUAAAAGGCAGUCAACUUGUCAUUCGGAGUCAAGAUAGAUGCUUACCCAUGAGCAAAGAAAAAGCUGGAAUCUGAAUAUUUUUCUCUGGUGCAGUAACCAUCACAAGCUUUCCAUUGGACUUUAACAAACCAAUUAAAGGCAAAAGAGGAUGGGCGGCAAAAACCGUAUCAAUGAUACCAUCCAUUGUUCCCAUGGCAGCCUACAAAUUACCAAACAACUAAAUCAAUCUGCUGAAAUAAAGUCAUCAUCACCAUGGCAACUUGUUCAAACAAUCACCUGCAUCUGAUCUUGAUCAUGGAUAACUAUAAACGAAUCGGCAUGAAGAUGUUCAAUUGCUUCCUUCUCCUUAUUAGGGGAGGUGCUGAUCACUGUAACCUUCACCCCCAUGGCCUUGGCAAACUUCACCGCCAAGUGCCCUACUCCACCUAGGCCAACCACACCCACAUGCAUUCCAGGUUUGUCUAGUUCAAAAUAUCUCAAGGGGCUAUAAGUUGUAAUCCCGGCACAGAAGAGAGGAGCAGCACCAUCAAGGGGAAGGUUGUCCGGAAUACGAACUGUGAAGUGCUCAUCGACCACCAUGAAGUCGGAGUAGCCUCCAUAUGUUAUGGUUCCGUCGUGGUACUUUUCACCAUAGGUGAGUAUCAGUUCGGGGCAGUAAUUCUCGAAAUUAUUGGCACAACUAUCACAAGAUUGGCAAGAUCCCACCAUGCAUCCAACACCUACCUUGUCUCCAACUUUGAAUUUUUCUACUUUGCUUCCUAGCUCUGUCACUACACCAACAACCUCAUACCUGAAUUCAAUCAGUCAGUUCCACAUUUGGUUAGUUAAAUGGACAUCACAAUGAAUUCCACAUACUAAGUUCAAUAACAUAAAAAUAAUGGUAAAAAAUGUUGUUCUGUUGACAUUCAAACCAUUAAUUUCGAUGGAUAUCAACAUGAGAUGAAAGUAAUUAACUAUUAGUCUAAUGAUAUUUCUUCUUUCAGUGUCAGAAGAGGUUGGACCUCACUUCCACGUCGUUUAUCGAGAUUCCCAAAAAAUAAAAUUAGUAUAUUUGUGAGACUUUGUAUACGUACCCAGGAACAAUAGGAUAGCUAGUGGUCCCCCAUUCAUUUUUGACCUUGUGAAGGUCCGAAUGGCAUAUCCCACAGUACAAAACUCUUAAAGCCACGUCUUUCUCUCCCGUUUUCCUGCAACCAAAUACCUUCAAAAACUGAGUUCAUUGGAAGGAAAGAUUGUACCAAACACAAAAUAAAGCAUGGAGCUUAUACGAGUUCAAUAUAAUAUUUUGUUUUAAUUUUUGAAGAAACCAAAGAAAGACUGGUAUUCCUAGAGUGAAAAGAAAACGGCAAAUAAAUAACAGGGGAGAAGAUAUAGAAUAUAUAACAACCUUCUUGAGAUUUUGAAGGGAGAGAGAACGCCAGAAGAAUCUGUGGCAGCCCAUGCAAAGGCCUUAUUUGGGUGUUCUUGCUCUGGAGAUACCAUUUCCAUGAUCUCCCUCUUACAAUAUAAUAUACAGUGAGAGUCUGAGGUGGGUAGAGAAGAGAUUGUGAAAGUAGCAAUUGCGAUGUUGUUCAUAUAUAUAUAUAUAUAUAUAUAUAUAUAUAUAUAUAUAUAUAUAAGGAGAGAGGGAGGGGGGGCCUACCUACCUCAAUUUGGAUAGGGACUCGUCCAAAGUAAACUGCUUUCAUGACGCAUUGGGUGAGCUAAGGAUGAUAAGUCAAGAGAUUAAUUAGACCAGAAGAAAAACUCCUCACCAAAUUUAAGAAGACAUAUUUUAAUGUUUUGGCAACUCUUUUUAAGAAGACAAAUUUUACUCGUCAAAACCCUUGUGGCGAGGCAAAUGUGAGUUUCCUUCCAAUUUUCUUCUCCCUUGUGUUAAUCGUCGUCGAUCAUGUUGUUGCCAUGAUAAAUAGUUUUGAAUGAUAAAAUGAAUGUUCAUUAUUGAAAAGUCCUAAUAAGAUCUGUUCAUCUAAUAAAUCACCUUUUAAAAAUCAUGAAUCAUCAUUUAACGAUCAUCUCUUCAAAAAAUCACUCGUACCUCAUCCGAAAAUUUGAUUCCAAGAUUCACACACCAUUCCAUUUUAUUUAAGAUCCAUUCUGUCACAUAUGCUGACAGACCGUCUGAUAUGUUUACACAACAGCCACAAACGACCACAAAAUCGAACUUUUAAUUUCGAUUGCAUGAGUCAGGAGGCUUCAAUGUAUUUCCAACGUCGAUAACAAAUCGGUAUCUGACGUCCGCUUUCGCGAGGCGCUCCAUAGCAGUGUUCACAUAGUCAAUAGGUAUAACCUCAACCUCGGCUGUUAUGUUGUGCUUGGCUGCAAAAUCAAUCAUCUCUUGUGUCUCCUUGACACCUCCAAUGUUGCUACCACCUACCAUCUUUCUUCCUAUAAUUGCAAAAUAAUGUUAAUACACACUCAUCAAAUUCUCUCAAUCAAAAUAUAGCUUUCUUUUGUCUAAUCCAAUGUUUGAACUUUGAAGAGAGUUACGCCAUUUAUAUGCGCCUUACCCAUUAGCAAAGGAAAAACAGGAAGCUCAUGGGGCUUCUCUGGUGCACCAAGCACCACAAGUUUUCCGUUAGUCUUCAACAAACGAAUCAAAGGCAAGAUAGGGUGAACUGCAGAAACCGUGUCGAUUAUACCAUCCAUUGUGCCCAUGGCUGCCUACAAAAUUAAGGUGACAAAAUAUUAGAUCAUCCUCCUAUAUACAUAAAUGAAAGUCAUUAAUGCAACUUGACAAUACCAGCAUCUGAUCUUGUUCGCGGCUGACCAAAAACGAAUCGGCUUUUAGACGUUUAAUAGCUUCCUCCUUCUUACUAGGGGAGGUACUAAUCGCUGUAACCCUAACCCCCAUAGCCUUGGCAAAUUUCACUGCCACAUGGCCUAGACCACCAAGGCCAACCACACCGACAUGCAUGCCGGGUUUGUCGAGGCCAUAAUAUCUCAACGGGCUGUAGGUUGUAAUCCCGGCACAAAGGAGAGGAGCAGCACCCUCAAGAGGCAGCUUAUCCGGAAUACGAAUCACGAAGUGCUCAUCGGCCACCAUGAUGUCGUAGUAACCUCCAUACGUGGUGGAAUUCCGUCGUGAUACUUGGCACCAUAGGUGAGUAUAAGUCCGGGGCAGUAGUUCUCAAGAUUGUUUGCACACUUAUCACAAGAUUGGCAAGAUCCCACCAGGCACUCAACACCUACCUUGUCUCCAACUUCGUAUUUUUGCACUCUACUUCCUACCUCUGUCACUACUCCAACAAUCUCAUGCCUGAUUUCCCAUUUAAAUUGAGAUAACAUUUGAUUAAUUACAUGGCUAGCAUAAUCAGAUAUCAAAGUUGAUUAGCAUAACCAUGUGCAGAGUAUGUAGCAAAGUGUGUAUGUACCCGGGAACUAGGGGAUAGGUAGUAAUCUCCCAUUCCAAAUAAAAAACAAAAAACCAAUAUAUCCAAGAUUGAAAUGAAAAUGUAAAUAAAAUGAAACAAGAUUUGAAGGAGAAUAUAACCUUCUGGAGAAAUUGAAGGGAGAGAGAACACCAGAUGAAUCUCUGGCUGCCCAUCCAAAGGCCUUCAUGGGGUGUUGCUGCUCUUGAGACUUGGCCAUAUUUUUUUUCCUCUUACACUUAAACCACACACCGACUAUAUGUUAGUGUUAAUCAGUAUAUAUAAUGGAUGUAGUGACCGAGUGACAGUCUGAGAAGCAGCAGUAUUCCCAAGUGGCAGUAUGAGGGAGUUUAUGCGCUGUCUGUAUAGAGAGGAUGCGGCAGCAGGGUUUGGUGCAUGCUGCUGAGCUGACGCAUUUUUGGUGAAAAACAACAAUGGCAACAGGAAAUUAUCAGAAAUUUCCAUGAAAGAGAAAGCUGUUGUUGAUAGCCAUGUCAGAAUGAUUGUGAGUAGAGAAUGCCACGUUAGAGCACUUCCUGUUGGAAUUUUAAAAGGUUUUAAAAAUUUAACCGUUUUAUUUAUUUAAUUAUUUUGGCGGUUUUAUUUUAUUUAUUGUGGGGGUUAUAAAUAUUUAAUAUUUAGGUUUUAUUUCUGGUUGGUGAAUGCCUUAAUUUUUUGGUUGGUGAAGUUUUAUGGUUGGUGAAGGUUACAUGUUUUUGGAUGCCUAUAAAAGGCCACUCCUCCUUCACAUUUGACACACACAAAAACACACAAUAACACACGAUAUAUACAAUACACUAUCAGAAUAUCACAUACACAUUCUAAUUCUCUCCUUUUCUACUUUUACAUAUAUUCUCUACUUUAUUAUUAUUAUUUUGGGCAAUGGUUAUGUGACUUGGAUACCUAUAUCUGUCUGUGAACGUGCUCAUAGCGGAUCUUGAGUUUGUGUACAAGGGGUCGUAUCUUGGAGUCUUGUAGACCGUCAGUACCUGCACGUAGGGAGGCUACAAAGGCUUUAGGACAGCGUCUUUGACGUGCUUCACCGUACCAAACUCACCUUCUUACUUAUUAUUUAUUUUCCUUUUACUUACCUAUUAUUUUGUUUUCUUUUUAUUAUACCUUCAAAGCUUUCCAAUUUGUUUAUAUGUUAUUUAUAAUAUAAAUGUUUUGUAUUUGGCUUUACGGAAAGAGGAAAACUAUUAUUUUUUAUAACAAUCUAAAGCCUUUGUAUGUUAAAGUUGUUUUCUUCCCGUAUUGCUAGCUUUAAUAUAUUUUAACUCUUUGACUGAAGCUUUUACAUUUGUAUUGGAUUUUCAAAAUGAAAAUUAUGAUUUAUUUUGGGUAGAUGCAGUUUGAAGCUUUUAUGUUGUCUAUACAAUUUCAACUGCUUUAAAUAUUGUUGGUACAUUUAUAUGUUUAUAAUUUGUUGCUAACGUUUGGGAAAUUACUGCUAGUGUUUGACAAUAAAACCUACAGACUAACUUAUGUGGUAUUAUUAUUAUAGCUCAACGUAUUAUUAUUUUAUGUGGUGUGUCCGUUUUCUAAGUUACUGUUUUUUUUUAAAUAGCUUGUAUUGUUUUAUUACCGAUUAAUUAAUUAUUACUCAUUAAUCAAUUUACGUUGAAACAUCCAAUAUUGAAUGGUUGAAGUGUUUAAAACCGAAAUGUUGAAGUGUUUCAAAAUCUUUGUUCUUUUUUUUUUUUUUCCUUUUAAUUGAAAUUUCAAAGCAAGUAUAUAUAUAUUUUUAGAACAAGUAUAUAUAUUUGAUUUUAUUGUGUUGGGCCUUUUUACAUUUGCCUUCAUUCAUUUUGGUUGCCAUCAAUCUUCUUUUAUAUAACGGUCCCUUAUAUUUUUUUGUUGGACUUAAUAUCAUUUUAUUGUUCUUACUUUUGGAAGUCCUUCAUACCAACGUAAGAAGUAAUUAUAAUAUAUUCUUAGCACUAAAGUUUAGUGUUUGAAAUUACUGUUUUAAUGUUGGGUUUCUAUGCACUAUCUUUAUGUGGUUUAAUGAAUUAUGAAUUAAUAUUGAACAGACAAUUUAGUUUUCCUUUUAUGAAGAUAAAUUUGAUUUGAAUAUUCAAUUGUUGCAUCUUUGCAAAUCUGUGUAGUAUACUACUUACUUUGGUUUCAAAUUCUUGAAAGAAAAAAGGUGCAAACAGUUCUUUUGUAGUUUAAUUUUGAAUUCAAAAUCUAAUAUUACGUCAGUUUUAGAUUUGGGCUAUUUGUGUAUUCAAUUUUAUAAUUGAUUCUUAUUUUCAUUUAUAUCUACUAAUUUUGCGAAAACAUGCAGAGAGUUUAUGUGACAUUCUUGCAAGUUUUAUUGAGCCUAAUUAUUCUUUAUUUUGAUGGCUGUCAUUACUUUGAAUUUGGGAGAAAAACCUACGGUUUUUUUUUGGUAGUAUAAAUGCAUCACUGUAACACCUUGGACGUUAGCUUCUUUUGAUUCCAGAAUUAGUUAAUUGCUCUUAACUUCUUUUGGAAGCUUGUGCAUUUCACAUUCAAUUACGAGAUUUUAUUUACUUUUAAUUUAUGCAGCUUUAGUUUCAAAACUUUAAUGUCAAUUUCAUGACAUUUAGAGCUUUUAUUUUGGCAGUAAAAUUGUUGAUAUUGUUAGGUGAUUAUUGCCUUUAAUGUUUUGAACAUUUAUGCAAUUUAAUUACAUCUUUGUUUUAAUGCCUUGGAUUCCUUUUAAAGUAGUUGCCAACGCCUAUAUAUUUUGAUUGUGCAAUCCUUCAUAUUAGUUUCUUGAGUUAAUCUAAUGUUCUUUUGAUUAUAAAGUCUUGACAGCUGCCACAUUGAGUUAAUUGACAUGAAGUGUACAUUGUGGAAUUCUCCUGAGAAAACUGAAAUGAAAUAAUAAAUUAUAUCAUUGUAAGUGGCUUUAAUUUUGAGUUUUGGUGUAAGGCUUUCAAACCCUAAAUUUUUGAGGCAUUUUUUUCUUUUGAGGCUUUCGAUGGUUUUGUUAUAUUUACAGUGACUAUCAAAAUGACUGUGAGUACAUAUCUUAUGAAUUUAAAAUUAGAUCAAUUUUGGUACCGUCUUCAUAUAUUUUGAGAAUUCCCUAAUUUGUGGGGGUUGAGUUUUUCCUUAAGUAUGUGGGUAUUUGUUGGAAUUUUUGUGGGUAUUUCAAAUACAAAAUUAAUAUCAAUACUUAUUUUUUUAAAUUUAAUAUUCCAGUUUUUGAGUGAUUUGAUUACCUCUUUAAAACUAAAGUUAUUUUGUACAUUUAUUAUAUAAGUUUUCAUAUCUCCUUUAUUCAGAUUUAUUCUAUUUUAAUUAGCGCUAAAAUGCUUAUGUUAUUUGUGUUUUGAUAAUUAUUAAUAUAUUUUUUUUAAAACGUGUGGACCAAUUUGUGGAAGUUGAAUUUUCCUAAAUGGGAACUUUAGUACUGUAAUUUAAUUUGUUAGUAACAUUAAGCAAUUUUUGCUUUUAUACUGAAAAAUAUUAGAUUCAUUUCCUUCUCUCUUUCCCAUAAUUUUGUGUGCUUUCAAUUUCUUUAUGUUCUAAUGGGAAAGAUUCAUUAUAUUCAUUUAGUGACAUAAUAAUUUCUAUAUUUCCUUGGCAAACAUAUUGUGUCUGUAUGAAAUUUGUUUCAUUAUACAAGUUUUUUAUGAGACUAAUUUAUCUUCAAUUUGAUAUGAAAAUAUUUGCAACUAAUGCUGAUUUUGGCAUAAAAUUUUGGUAGAGACUUCUUAUUGUCUUAUAGGUUCAUAUUGAGAAUCGAUAAGAUACAAUUUCAACUUGGAUAUGUGAUCAUGAUUUCAGCCAUUUGGAGUGCACAAAAGGGAGUAAGGGUAUCCUGAAAUACUCAGUGUUUAUAGUUAAAUUUAUUUAAUGAAUUAAUUGUUAUAUUGUUGUUCAUAAGUGGUAGCAGGUGUACUCAAAGUUUCAUGGACUUGAGAGGUACUCUUGAUCAGAAGAUUUAAUGUAUGAUGUAUUUCCAUUAUACUUAACUGUAUGCCAAUGCGUAUUUAAUUUACAAUUAUACUGAGGUGAAAUCCAUUAAUUAUUUGUGUGCAAGAUUGUGUAGGAAAUAUUUUAAUAACAUGCAGGUUUAAAGCGCGCUAAAAUGGAGAACAAAGACAUGACCUACAUUAUAUAUGCCUUGUGAAGGCUAGUUUUGAUAUGCAUGCCUUGUGGAGGAGGUUAUUAAUGCAAAAUGUCGAGGGGGAUGUGCUUAAGCCCAUAAGGGAGUCACCUAGGGAGGUAACCCAACUUCUGUGAUUGGAGAUCCCAUGAAGGAAGUUCAAUGUGGUAGAAACAAUCCAUACUGCGUGACUCAUAUAGCACUCAUAAAACUAUGGAGAUAUCCUUGAGAUAUUCUUCUGCUCAUCCCUAAGGCAAAAGUGCUAUUUUAUGUGACGUCAGGAAGGGAUUUAUCCCUGAAUGAGUUUCGAGGCGGGUAAACUCCCGCAGGGUGCAGGUCACAUGUACUCUUGGAGAACUCACCUAAGUGAGGGACGUCGUGAGGCCGCGACUAUGAGAAUUGGGCUAUUCUCUAGUAACUCUCAUGAGAAUCAAGAUUAGCGCAUGGCCAUAAAUAGCGCUACCCCGCAUCCAAGUCUCAACUAAUACUAUGUGUGGGAUAUGUUGAAGUUUGGUCAAAGGUGCCGAGUUCAAUACUGUGUACACUCAGGUUCCUCAAAUGGAGACUAUCAUCACUAAGUGAAGGUUCAAGCCCGGAAGGCACCUACACCUAUUACAUAGUAUUAUAUUGCCCAUAUAUAUAUUAUAUAUUUUUCACUGGUGGGGGAUUGUUGGAAUUUUAAAAGGUUUUAAAAAUUUAACCGUUUUAUUUAUUUAAUUAUUUUGGCGGUUUUAUUUUAUUUAUUGUGGGGGUUAUAAAUAUUUAAUAUUUAGGUUUUAUUUCUGGUUGGUGAAUGCCUUAAUUUUUUGGUUGGUGAAGUUUUAUGGUUGGUGAAGGUUACAUGUUUUUGGAUGCCUAUAAAAGGCCACUCCUCCUUCACAUUUGACACACACAAAAACACACAAUAACACACGAUAUAUACAAUACACUAUCAGAAUAUCACAUACACAUUCUAAUUCUCUCCUUUUCUACUUUUACAUAUAUUCUCUACUUUAUUAUUAUUAUUUUGGGCAAUGGUUAUGUGACUUGGAUACCUAUAUCUGUCUGUGAACGUGCUCAUAGCGGAUCUUGAGUUUGUGUACAAGGGGUCGUAUCUUGGAGUCUUGUAGACCGUCAGUACCUGCACGUAGGGAGGCUACAAAGGCUUUAGGACAGCGUCUUUGACGUGCUUCACCGUACCAAACUCACCUUCUUACUUAUUAUUUAUUUUCCUUUUACUUACCUAUUAUUUUGUUUUCUUUUUAUUAUACCUUCAAAGCUUUCCAAUUUGUUUAUAUGUUAUUUAUAAUAUAAAUGUUUUGUAUUUGGCUUUACGGAAAGAGGAAAACUAUUAUUUUUUAUAACACUUCCAGCGUGAAGGGGAAGUCUAGACAGGAGAGGGCUCAGGCCCGCGUGACAGCGCCAGCGUGUAAGGACAAGCUCGGGCAAGGUGUGGGGCCCAUCAACUGGACAAACCCACAGGUAAAUUUAGCCUAUGUUUUUGUCUGAGUAAGUGGCAUAAUGCUGACAUCAGCAAAUUCAUGACUAGUUGUUGACUAGUCAUAAUUAUAUUUGGUUAAGUUUUAAAGUGUGUGAAUAUUACUAUAUAUCUGAAUAACAUUUAAAUUUAUCCCUUGUCAUCUGAGUACCAAUUUCAAAAAGGAACUCCUCCUCAAAAUAAAUAGGAUUCUCACAUUUGUCAAAUUCUUUUAGCUGUUUUUAACUUUUGAAUUCCUUUAAUUUUUUUCUUUUAAAAUUUAGUAAGUGUUAAAAUUCCAUUAAUUCUAGAGAAGAGUUCCUACUUAAUUUUUAAGGUGCCAAACCAUGAAUUAAGGAGCCAAACCAUGCUCCCCGUUAAUAUAUGCUUCUCGUUACUAGUGCCUCAGGUAUGCUUCUCGUUACUAGUGCCUCAGGUGGAUCAACAAACAAUUGGCUCUUCAAGAUCUCUGAUUUGAUAAUUGGAAGCAUUCAGAUCUUAGGUUAUUUGUGUAAGAAUUAUAUAUUCGCAGAAAAAAUUGGCUAAUUUGAGAUAUUUUUAGUUAAACUGUUAUCUACACUCCAAUAGAGAGAUAAAGAACAUAGCCCCAAAAAGGAUUCUUGCAAACAAUAGAAUAAGAUGCAAAACAAUAAACACAACCAUUGCAAACAUACAGUGAGCAAAGUCAAUUCUCAUAAAGAAAUUAGAUAUAAAAAAUUCUUAAAAUUCAACCUAUAUUAAUAUUUGAAAUUGUAAACAAGAUCUGUAAACGAGAUCACACUACUACAAAAAAGAAAAAAGACGAUGGUAAAUCACCGUCGUGUAUUCGGUUUUUCAAUGGUCGUGGAAUCCAUAUGACACAUAUUAAUAGAACAAGGCCGCAAGAUAGACAUACAACGACGAAAAUUAAAACAAGACGCCGUUAAAUAUCAUUUUCAUGACAAUAAAAAAUAUGACGUCUUUAAAUACAUUAGAAGACGACGUUAUUGAUACCUACUACGUCGUCUAUAUAAAAACAACCGUCGUAAAAUAAAUUUUCCACUUCGAUUUUUCUAUAAAAGAUGACGUGGAAAUAGUUGUCAGUAUCAUUAUUUACGACGUAUGUAUUUAUAGAGUAGAUGUUGAACAACGAAACAACGUCGGUUACAAAUAUAUGAGAGUCGUAUUACAAAAUUUAUACAUCCUAUUUUCAGAAACAAACAACGACGAUAAAUAUUAGACGUUGUUAAAUAAAACAACGUCGAAAACAAAUAAAAACAGACGUGUUUAGUCUACUAAAGUUCUAAAAAAUAGUCAAGGAUGAGAAUAGACGACCAACUCAAACAAAUCACCAUCGUUAAAAGGGAAAAAUAUAACACAUAUUAAAAGAACAAGGCCGCAAGAUAGACAUACAACGACGACAAUUAAAACACUACGCCGUUAAAUAUAAUUUUUACGACAAGAAAAAAUAUGACGUCUUUAUAUGCAUGAGAAGACGACGUUAUUGAAAUCUACUACGUCUCUUAUUUACAAACAACCGUCGUGAAAUAAAUUUUCCACUUCGAUUUUUCUAAAAAAGAUGACGUGGAAAUAGUUGUCAGUGUCAUUAUUUACGACGUAUGUAUUUAUAUAGUUGACGUUGAAAUGCGAAACAACGUCAGUGGCAUUUAUAUAGUCGACGUUGUAUUUAUAUGUAUUCAUUACUCACGACGCACUUAUUAAUAUAGACGACGUUGAACUUCUAAACAACGUCGGUUCCAAAUAAAUGAGAGCCGUAUUACAGAACAUAUAGACGGCGUUGAUUAUGAUGAGAGCCGUAUUACAAAUAACGUCGUUUAAUUGAUAUUAGACGGCGGUUAUAAUGAAUUACCGUCGGAAUUCAUUUCGUUCCUCUUCGUUUAUAAAAGAACUUGCGACGUGGAAAAUGUAUGAUGACGUCGUAUUUUUUAACGUUCAGAUUAUAUAUCUCGUUUUUUAGACGUCGGUAUUAUGGGAUUGGAGUCGUGUUAUUUUGAAUUACGUGGCGGUUCUUAAUCCUUCCCCGACGUGAUAUCCUGAAUAAUUGCUUCACAAUAGCGUCGUGGUUGAAAGGACCCGCCCCGAAUUUUCUCAAAACCCGAGACGAACCCUUUGGAAUUCCUGACAUCACCCCGAUGCCAGGCCCACUUACUAAAAACCGAGACUUCCUGCCGAAAUUUAUGCAGAGUCUCCCCUAUAAAUUGGACAUUUCCUAAAAUUUCAACCUGCAUAAAAACACAUUUAAUAUCCACAACUGGCAGCAUGCACAAUAUAAUUUCAUGCAAAUUCUCAUAAAUGGCCUUCGGCCUUCCAAAAAUUCUCAAACAACUACCAAACAAUUUAAAUACAAAUUAUGACAAAUAUUUAGUCUGCGGCUGCACCUAAUAACCUUAGGCUGCCUACGUACCCUCCUUGAGGGAUCAAGCCACACGUAGUUCUUCCCUAAAACCCCGUUCCCCACUUGGGCGAUACCUUAUUUCAUUUCUUUGUAUUUCAUAUAAUCUCCCCAUACGCCGGUACAACCAACGCCACGUAUGGGGCCUGUCAACACGCCGAAUAACCUACGCCACGUGCGACCAUGCCAUACUAUCGUUAUCUCUCCCCAUACGCCGGUACAACCAACGCCACGUAUGGGGUCUGUCUCAACGCCGGAUAACCUACGCCACGUGAGACCUGUACAUCAUAUCACAUAACUCCCCAUACGCCGGUACAACCAAUGCCACGUAUGGGCCUGUCCCAACGCCGGAUAACCUACGCCACGCGGGACCUCAACAUCAUAUCACAAAUCUCCCCAUACGCCGGUACAACCAACGCCACGUAUGGGUCCUGUCUCAACGCCGGAUAACCUACGCCACGUGAGACCUGAACAUCAUAUUACAUAGCUCCCCAUACGCCGGUACAACCAACGCCACGUAUGGGGCCUGUCCCAACGCCGGAUAACCUACGCCACGCAGGACCUAACUUUCACUUGGUGGUGCAUGUAGUGAAUCCAACAUCCGAGGAGGCACCUAAAGUAGUGCGUAUAUCACUCCAAACUGACAUUCUAAACUCUGUUGUACCCUUGUACAACCAUAUAUAAUUAUAAUUAUAUAAAUAAAUUCUAAUAUUGUGUAAUCCUCCACAAUGGUCUAGCACCCGAUAAUCCCCCCUUAAAAAGGUGAGAUUACUCUGGAAGACUCACGGUCAACCAAGGGUCAAACUACUUUAACCCUGGUCAACCGGACCUGCAGAACCCACGACCUCCAAUUUCCGAUCCGGAAGUCCCUAUGGGUUCUACUAGGUAUAGGACACUUGUCCUGCAAGUUUAGUUCAGAUCGGACGGUCGGAUUUCUCACGAUCGCACGAUCUGACAAUUAAUAUAAAAUACAACUUUAAAAUUAUUAUUCGGAACAUCCGGGGCUCUGAUUCACAAUCCGUGAAUUCCUACACGAUCCUAGAAAUACCUAGAUUAACAUAUAUUAAAUUUGGGACCAUCCGACGGUCCCAACCUAUCGAACCCGGAUAACGCAUAAUAUGCGAUUAUCCGUUCGAUAGUCAAACGACGUCCGAAUUGAGAUCCGCGAAAUCCUACGCACUCGUGACAAUCUAAGGAUUUCAUCGGAACACAUCGCUACUUUUCUACAGUGCCCACGCGCCGCCGCACGCGCCGGCAGCGCGUGGGUGCCCAAAGCGAUAACGCUUAGCCGAAAAAUCUCAAAACCACGGCUCCAAACUCUUACCCUAGGUAUAACACCCUAUUUGGAGCCACUUUUGUUCUUGGACCUACCCCAAAAAGUGGUCGAAAAUGGCCGAUCAUGGCGGCCGAAGUUCGGCCGAUUUUCAAUUUGAAAAUCGAGUUGUCUACGCUAAGAAUCGAUCUAAUCCUACCCAACCAUUAUCUAGAGCAGCUCGAGAGGUUCAAAAUCCAUACCUGGGUCGACGGAAUUGGUGGCCGGAGGAGGAAGAUCGACGGCGUUGAAACUCCGGCGACAUCCGGACGAAAAUCGCCAUUUUCCGGCGGCUGGAGCGGAGGCCGAUGGCGGGAAUGGGCUGGGUCGUGACGCCGAGGUCGAGCCGGUUCUUUUGACACCGGCCCCGUCCGCAGCCGCGGCCGGUGGCCGGAGUUACGAGGAGAGAGAGAGAGAGAGCCAACGGAGAGAGAGAGAGGUCGCGAGAGAGAGAGAGAGAGAGAGAGAGAGAGAGAAACCAGAUUUUAUAAAAAAUCCCAUUUUGAAAUAUUUACGAUUAUGCCACUGGGCUUCUUUUGACCAUAUCUCUCUCGUUACAACUUCGAUUCGAGCCCACUACGUGUCUGUGAACUCGUCUCAGUACGACCUAUCUAAAAAUAUAAGUCGCGGUCCCAAACUCUCUCCGGUUAAAAAUAUGACUAAAAUACCCUUAAAUAAUUAAAUAAGGGUUAAAUUUGGGGUCGGGGUGUUACAGUGGUUCUUCAUUGUUACGUUGCUUUAAGACGUCGGUAAAUAUGCUGAAUAACUGGUUCACAAUAACGUCGUGUUUUAUUUGAACGUAGAAAGUGAAGAAAUCACAUUAAAAUAUAUUACAAAAUUAAUGUCAUACACUGCCAAUUACAUAAGCAUCAUUCAAUCCAUAUAUCUUCACACCCAUCUCGAAUAUUUUGACCGCCUAACUCACCCACCAGUUCAUCAAAUGUGUCAACAUUUGGCAUCCCUCUAGUAAAUGGCUCACACUCAAUUAUCACAUCACCUAAGACUUCAUCACCAAUAACAUCAUUAUAUUCUCUAUUAGGCAUUGAUAACACUACCGACCAACCACGAUGCAUCGGGUCGUCAACAAAAAAUAUUUGUUUGACUUGAGAAGCCAAAACAAAUUGGUCAUUCCUAUGUCCAAUUUUACUCAAAUCUACAAGGGUAAAUCCAAGUUCGUCGACUACAAGACCAGAACUAUCUAUCCAAUCACACCUAAAGACUGGGAUUGUAAACUUUUGGUAGUCAAGGUCCCAAAUUUCUUGAAUGACACCAUAGAAACCCAUAUUUGAGAUAAUUGGGUUUUUAUCCUUGGCACUAGCAACUUGCAUGGUAUGUGCAAGUAAAUAAACUCCACUAUUUUGAGUUGUCCGCACAUCAUCUUGUGCCUUGAUAUUGAAUUUAAUACCUUUAAUAAGAUAUCUCCUAUAUAAUGGCACUGCCAUGUUUAGAACAGCUGCUAGCCACCUUAAAUUUUCUGAUACGCCAUGAUUGUCUUCCUCAAGUUCACUUUGAACCUGCAAAUUAAUCAUAUCUUAAUUCAAUCUAACAUAGAAAUAAGAAGAAAAUUAAAAGAGAAAUAUGUUAUUCAACAACAUAUACCUUGAAGCGUAGCCAUUGAAUGAAAGUGCUAUUGUGCUUAUCCUGCAGCCACUUUGUUCUCUUUCUAAAUUUUGGAUAAGCAGUCUUGAUGUGGAUCAUAUGUUGCCUACAUGACACGAAAAAUUCAAGCAUUACGGUCCCAAAUAUAGAAGAUAAACAUAAGAAAUAAUUUAAAAUGGAAACUUAAAGAAUAAAACUCAUACGUACUCGAUAUAAGGUAGGACUUCCUCUGUAUUCUCCAAGACAUAUAGAUGUGCUUGAUUCAACAGGUCCUGAUCAACUACUCUCACUGUGCAACCUGAUAAUGGCUUUGAAAGUCCCAUCUUUUGGCUUGAAGGCACUCCAACUGUACUAACAUCAGAUAAAUGCUGAGUGCAAAACUCUACCGCUUCUUCAGCUAUAUACCGCUCAGCAAUGCAACCUUCGGGACGAGUACGAUUCUGAACAUACCCCUUCAGCACUUUCAUAUAUCUUUCAAACGGAUACAUCCACCUAAAAUAUACUGGCCCACAUAGACGAACUUCUCUGACAAGAUGUACUACUAGAUGAACCAUGAUAUCAAAGAAUGAAGGGGGAAAGUACUUCUCAAGCAAACACAGAGUAACUACUACAUCUUCUUCCAACUUAUCUAGCUUGGAAACAUCAACAGUCUUUGCACAUAUAGCAUUGAAGAAGAAGCACAAACGAGUUAUUGCAUACCUUGCAGGCUUCUCCAAAACAGAACGAAUUGCCACAGGGAGCAAUUGUUGCAUUAAGGUAUGACAAUCAUGUGAUUUAAGGCCAAGAAGUCUUGAAUCUUGUAAAGGUACAAGAUUUUUAAUAUUUGAAGAAUAACCUUCAGGGACCUUCAUACCAUAGAAAGAAUUGCAAACCUCUCUCAUUUCUGCUCUUGACAAAUUCCAAGGCCCAGGAGGCAAACGAGUACGUCUUUCUCCAUACUCGGGUUGCAAAUCAGUUUUGACCCCCAUGUUCAAUAAAUCUAAUCGAGCAGCAAUCCCAUCUUUAUUUUUUCCAGGGAUCUCCAGCAAUGUACCAAUGAUACUAUCGCAAACAUUCUUCUCAAUGUGCAUAACAUCUAGGGCAUGCCUCACAAGAAGGUAUUUCCAAUACUCGAGAUCAAAGAAUAUUGAUUUCUUCUUCCAACAAACUCUGUCACCAUUUUCAACCAUAUGCAGCACUUCUUCUCCGGUUAAUGGCUCGGGAGGUAUGCCAUAUUCAGGUUUCCCAUUAAAAGCUGCAUGUUGCCUCCUAUAUGGAUGAUUGAUUGGUAACCAUUUUCUAUGCCCAAUGUAACAAAUUUUGUGGCCAUUUUUCAACCUGUGACUAGGUGUAUCAUCGCCGCAUAUUGGAGAAGCUUUAUAUCCUUUAACAAUACAACCAGAUAAGUUUCCAUAGGCGGGGAAAUCAUUAAUUGUCCACAUUAAUGCAGCUCUGAGUGUAAAGUAUUCUCCAUUAUGUGCAUCAUACAUUCCUCUAAUAAUUGAUCCCUUAUAAUUCCAACCCCAAACAACUUCAAAUUAACACAUUUAACACAUGGACAACGGAUAUGUGUUGUAGUUAGAAGAUUUUCUACAGCAAAGUUCAAAAAUGCUUCCACCCCAAACUCAUAUGCCUUCGAUCUUCUAUUCGAGUGCAUCCAUGACUUAUCCAUCUCCGACACUAUAACCUAUUAUCUAUAAUAAAGUGAAAAUACAGGCAAUAACCAUUACUAUAGCAGAUUAUACAAAGAUCUAAUAGCAAGUAAUACACAACAGAGACGACGGGUUUUAAACAAAAACAGACGUAUUUGGCAUAUAUAGACGACGGAUUUUCAACAGACGUCGUCUAAUAUAAGUAAUACAAACGACGGUUUAUGAAAAAACCGUCGUGUAUAAGUAAUACAACGACGGUUUUUUCAUAAACCGUCGUGUAAUCGUCGUCGUAUGCCUAAAAAGGCGUCGUGUCUCAGUUUAUUUUCAAGAACCCAAAACCCAUUAAGAACACAACAUAUAUAUGAAACCAAGCAAGAAACCAACAUAUACAUGAAACCAAGCAUGAAAACAAUAAAUCCAUUCCCAAUUCAACAUAACAUAGGGUGAUUAAAAGAUCCGACAAAAUUAAAUCCAUUCCUAAUUCAACAUAACAGAUAAUGUAAUCCAUGAACCCAUUAAACAGAAAAUCCAUGAACCCAUACCUAUAAGCACAUUAUUAACAGAUCGCAAAGCAUAUACCUAAAACCCUUUAACAAAACAACCUAAUAUCAUUUAAUGAAUUUACAAGGGGAAGAUAGGGUUUGUACUUACAGGUUGGACGAGCUCACAGAUUCGACGGAGCCUGGAGAGUGUAACUUUUAAUUAGAGCAGAAGUGAGAGAGCGAAAUGUUAUGUUGAGCGAAAUCUGAAAAUUUUAGGGUUCAGGGUUAGAAGUAUAAGAAUAAGAGCCAAAUCUAAAAAAUUUAGGGCGCGCGAAAAUUUUUAGAGAGCGCGCUCUUUAAAACGUCGAAAGAAAAACCAUGGCGAAAGUUCUACAAGAACCGACGUAAAUGUAAUAUUCCACGACGGAAACACUGAACGUAACGCCGUUUAUUUUGACGCUUCAUUUUUCGGAUUAAUUUUAAAUUUAUUUUGAAUAUUUUGAUAUAAAGACGACUGAAAAACCACGUCGGGGUUAAGAAAUUGAAAACGUUGUAAAUUAUAAUAGACGACUUACAUAUUAAAAUGACGUCUUUUAAAGUAUAAACCAUGUCGGAUAUUUUACUGCACGACGUAAUAUAUGUAUUCCACGACUCAACCACCGUCGCUAAAAAUUAAUACCCUAAACCCUUAAAACUAAAUUAUAUAAUUUUAAAAAUUAAGUUUAUAAAAGGGUUUAUAGUUUUACAGCCUAAUAUAUACCCUAGACUACCCAAAAAUUAUACUUUAAAAAUAAACCCCAAUAAAUAACAACCCUAAUCUCUAAACCCUAGACUCUAAACCCUAAACCAUAAAACUAGAAGUGAUUUUAUGACUCAUCAAAACAAUUUUGUUUUGGAUGGUCAUUUUAAAUUUUUGUUAUUCAAAAUGAAUUUUUUCAAGGUUUAGGGGGAAGAAAAUAUAUCAAUGACUUCAUAGGAGUUGACUUUGCAUUUUUCUGAUUUAUUUUAAAUUUAUUUUGAAUAUUUUGAUAUAAAAAUAAUAAAAUAUUCUUAUCACAACAACAAACCACGUCGGUGUUAAUAAAUUGUAGACGUUGUAAAUUGUAAUAGACGACUAAGUUGUUAAAAUGACGUCGUUUAAAUGAGAAACCAUGGCGGAUAUUUAACUAUCCGACGUAAAAUAUAUAUUCCACGACUUAAACGUUGUCGUUACAAAGUACUACCCUGAACCCUUAAGAAAUUGAAGACGUUGUAAACCAUAAACGACUCAAUUGUUCAAAGAACGUCGUCUAAAUAUCCUUUUACGUCGGAUUUGUUUAAAACGAAACAACAAAAAACAACGAUUUUUGACUUUAUUAGGUCGUUGGAAAAGUAUUACACGUCGGUUACGCAAUUUGUAUGUUUGUUUUUUUUUUUUAAUUUAAGAAAACCUCAACAAAUUUUUACAUUAUAUAUUAUAGACAAAAUUUGUACAUUAUACAUAAAUAUCAAGUGUUCAAUAAUUCCCCUAUUCCAGGUGAAGGCAAACAAACUCUGCCCAUUCAUUCCGGACUUCAUCAAUUGCUUCUUAGGGGUAUGGCGCUUCCUGUUUUCCCUUGGCAUACUGCAUAAACAAUGACUAUUAGGGUUUAUAAAUAAAAAGAAAUUCAAUCACAGACGACGAUAUUUUUCAUAACCGACGUAGUAUAUCUAUUCAACGACGGUAAUUUUACAUGACCGUUGUUGAUGAUACAAAAAACGACGUAAAAUGUAUGAAGGUAAUUUCUUCUUACCUUCUUCUCAAACGCCAAGGAAGGAUCCAUGAUGAUGUCCCUCAUGAAGCGCAUCACAUAAUACCCGCAUUCGACACUGCUGGGUUGCUUUGGUGUGCCUGACAGAGUUUUCCAAAUUACUGCCUUACGGCCUGAUCUGGCUAUGUGAGAAUUAUAAAUUUUUAUAGCACUGUUCACGAUGUUUUUGGCCUCUUCAUCGACCACACGAUUUCCUGGCAGAGGAUCCAGAAAAUAGACGGUUUUCCUUUUUGCUCUCACAAUCAGCAAGAUCCAAUGACGACUACACAAAAUUAAUAUAAAAACGACGGUUAUUUACGAAAACGACGUAUUAUAAUAUUUCACACGACGAAAUAAAGUAGCAAUCGACGACAUUAUAUAUUUAUCACGACGAUAAAUAACUACCGACGUGGUUAGUAGUUUGAAACGACUCAAUAAAAUAAAACACCGACGUGGUUAGUUUAUACGCUGUCAUUUAUUGAAAAUCAUAAAAACAAAAUCCUGUUAAGGAGACUAACCCUGGAUUGUAAGGCAUCAUGAAAAUCUGUUCACCGUCAGUCCUCUGAAGUCGAGCUGCUACCAGUCGUGAUCUGUCAGCUAUUGUGCCAGAGUUGGCACUAACUGUAGCAGGGUCGAUAAAGCCUACCAUGCUGCACAUAUUUGCUUGUUUCAAAACAUCGUGUAAGUACCUAAAUAUAUAAAAUAAUAUAAACAAGUCAGCACAAAAAAACACACGACGAUUAUGUAUAACAAAACGACGUAUUAUAAAAUUUCACACGACGUACUGAAAUAGACAACGACGUUAUAAUAUAUUUAUCACGACGGUACAUACUAAUGACGUGGUUAGUUAGUUAAGGCGACGCAAUAACGACGGUACAUACUAACGACGUAGUUAUUUUAGAAUGACAAACCUCAUAUAUACAGCAAUGACCGUAGCUCCUAUUUCUUCCAUGCCUGCAAAUUGUGUAAUAUCUUCAGGCAGGAGGAAGGUAUCGUGUUCUAGACCAAACACCUCCUUAUCAAUUGUAAAGUUCAGGGUCUUAUCCUGAGGCACGAGUGUCGUUUCCACAUAACGACAAAGGGAUUUUAAAGAAGAUGGCGCCUCCAUAUUUGAAUAAUCAACAACUUCAAAAACCUGUUUAAAGAAAUUAAAAAAAUGACGUGGUAAUUCAAUAAAAACGACGGUUUAAGGAAUAAAACGUCAUCUGAAAAGAAUUUAAACGACGGUGAAAAAAUCGUCGUGGUGAAUAAUUUAUUACGUCUUAGAAAAAAAUUCCGCCGUCUAAGUUGUAAACAAAUGACGGUUUAAAGAAAAAUAUCGACGUCUGAAAUUUUGAAAAACAAAUAAAAAAGGCAAAGUUAUGUGAACAUACCUGGUCGUCAUGCUUUUCUUCAUCUUCUUUCUCCUUUUCAUCUUGUUUUUCUUCUUUCUUCUCUUCAUCUAUUACGUCGGGAAUGACUAACCCCGUCGUCUAAAAAUCACAAAGUUUUAAAAAUAACGACGUUUAAUGGUGUGUAAAACAAAUAAACUAAAUACGACGUGGUAUUGAAAUACGACGUGAGAUCCCAGCACCUACCCCUCUCACUCUGCCUGGAUGCUCGGGGCACAAAGCCAUGGUCAGCACAUCAUUGCUGCCAGAUACAGUGACUUUGCCUUCCGAGACUUGUUUUUGCAAUUCAUCCUAAAACAAAGAUAUAUAAAAAAGUAAGAACAAAAAACACACGACGGUUAUUUAUAUACAAACGACGUAUUAUAUAAUUUCAGACGACGCAGUAACAAAUAAAUCGACGUUAUUAUAAUUUAUCACGACGGUAGUUAUACCGACGUGGUUAGUUUUUUAAAACGAUGAAAUGAAUAAACCACCGACGUCUUAUGCUUUAUUUAGAGAUAACAGAGGGAUGAUUCAAUAUUCACACCUUUAACGACCUUGUUUAAAACAUUUCGACGUAGUAAUUUAAUACAAACGACGCGAAAAUGAACCACCGACAUCUUAUGCUAUAAUUACAGAAAACAGAGUAGUGAUUCCUGAUUUAGACCUUUAACGACGUUUUUUAAAAAAUUUCGACGUGGUAAUAUCAUUCACACGACGCAAAAUAUAACAUAAGACGUGAUAAGAAUUAUUCACAGUUUAAUACAAAUUUAAAACAAAGUGAGUAGGCUUACAAUUAAUUUUGCUUUCUCUGCCACCUUUGGAUCCGGGAUGUUACCAUGUUUGUCCUGUCUAGCUCUCUUCCAUAAGGUAGAUCGAUCAAUUUCUACCCCAGGCAUGGUUUCCUCCAAUUGAUCCUCCAAACCAGCAUAUCCUUUUCGAGACAAUCGAUGAUUGUACUCAAGUUUCUCCCUAAUCUGUGCAUGUUGAGAAUGCACAGACUCAAAAUCUUUGGAUAACCUUGAAGCUACAAAGGCAUCCCAUUGUGCUUUCUCUAUGAAUUUAUAUGUUUCAGGGGGUUGGCUUAAUCUCUCCCUGUCAUUGGUGUAUGGAAGGAUAUAAUGCCUCGUUAGUGUAGACUUGAAAUCCUUCCAUUUCUUGGCAGCAGAAGCUAACACAGAGUUCUUGCCCCCUUGACCUACCACAAAAGCAAUGUCAACUGCUUCCCAAAUCUGCUCCUUUAUAUCCUUGGGGAUUUGAGCCCAUUUCAUGUCCACAAGUGGAACUCUGGAGCGUGCCAACACACCAAUGUAGGACUGCAUCUCACUAUGUGCUUGGCCAAUUCCUUUCCCCCUUUUAUUGUACUCAACAAUUGGCCUCAGUUUCUGAAGUUUUCUCUUCACAACACGAGGCAUUGUGCUCAUACCUCGACCAGACUUUGAAUCAUCAAAGAUUGUUGUCGUGCUGGUUGGUUCUGUCUCAGCAGAUGAUGAAGCAAACUUCAUCUUCUUCGAAGACUUCAUCUUCUUCGAAGACUUCUCUUGAGGAGUUACCAUUCCAAGCUCCUUACCUCCAUUUUUCUUGGAGCCAGAGUCCUUACUUUGGUCUUGAGAAACCAUUUUUACAGACAAAACUGCAAGUGAAAAUAUUUCAGGAAAAGAUUAAGAACACAAACGACGGUUAUUAAUAAAAUACGACGUAUGAUAUGAUUUUAAACGACGCAAUGAAAUAAUCUCAGACGUAAUAAAUGUUUAAAACCAAGGUAAUUAAACAACGACGAAAUAAUAUAAAAUAAGAUGGAAUAAUAACUUAUUACGUCGAUAUUUACCGGACGACGUGAUAAUUAACUAUAAACGACGAAAUAUUUAUAUAACGUCGUGGUAUUGAUGUUCACACGACGUCAAUAGUAAUAUACCGUCGUCUAUAUAAGGAUCCAAAACCCUUCUUUCUUUCUCUGUGAAUGUUUGAUUGUAGAUUUGAUUUUUCUGAACCAUGGUUUUUGUUUUCUAAUUUGAUAAAAUACAAGGCCAAGAAAGAAAGUUUUGGAAUCUUAUAUAGACUACGGUAUUUUAAUAUGACGUCAUGGUAUUAACAUUCACACGACGUAAAACAAUAAGAUACUGUCGUCUUUGUCUGUAUAUUUUAUCGAACUUGGAAAGAAGUAAAAUGAUUUUGGCCAGAAAAAAGGUAAAAAGAUUUUUCAAACAAAAAACGUAUGAGCAUGCAAAACAGCAACCAAAAUAGUGAAAAUGAAAGCUUACCUUUUGCGUGCAAUGAAAGCAAGAGGAAGACGAUGUUUAAGUUCAGAGACGACGAAGAAGACGAGAGGAAGACGAUGAGAUACUCUGACAGUGCUCUGACAAGGAAAAAAGUCUAAAAGUUUUCUCUGGGAGAUUGAAAUUUUUAAUCGGGUUUGGAAACAGCGCAUGUGUAAGUCAGGUAGACGAAAAGUUGCUUACAUAUAAAACCAUUUCAAAAAAAUAAUACGGCGGUUACAUAUAACUACGACGUAUAAAUUACAAAAUACGACGGUACAUUUAACUUCGGACGUGGUAAAUAAAUACGACAGUAGUGUUGUAGGUACCGUCGUAGUAAACUCAAAAAUUAAAGUACAUAAGUAAUAACUCGCGUCAUGGUAGAUUAUUUAACACGUCGUUUUUAUUAAUGUACCGACGUGGAUUUCUGUAUUAUACGUCGGUCAUACCGACGUUGAUUUUACAAUUUAAACGGCGGUUUUUUUGUAAGGACCGCCGUUGGUUUUAAAAAUUUAUUCUAUAAAUUUGUCGCUUUCGUUCAUUUUCGGUUUACAUUUAGGGUUCCAAGUUCUUCCUCUCUCAGAGACACUGUCUCUCACGUCUCAAAGACAAUAAUUUGGAUGUCUUUCUCAAAGAGAAAUUGAGCUUACUCGCAUCAAAUAUAUGUCCACAAGAAGAAGCUUGUCAACUAGCCUUCUCACUUCCUUGAUCAAGCCUGAUAGGACACUUAGUGCUUCUGAAUACUCCUUGCUUUCCAUCAAAAGAGAUGCAAGCCUGGCCUCCACUCGCCAUCGAAGGAAAGUUCGCUUCUCAGGGAAAUCUGAAGAUCAGAUGUGCCUGAUCCUCUGCUUGAUUUUCUUGGCUAAGAAGAUCCGUCAGAUUUGUGAUAGCCUCUUCCUUUAUCCGUAGAGCUUCAGAAGAAGAAGAUGAGUUUCAAGAAUGCGAUAAAGAAUAGAAAUGGGUUCAGAUGGCCUCUAAAGCAUGAGCAAUCGAAUCAUUAGUUGCUGGGAGAUAUGAUGAAGACAUUGUCAAUGCUUUGAACUAUACAAGUCCUGCAGAAAGAUAAAGGACCAAACUGUUAAAGAAACUGAAACAACGGCGGUUUUCUGUUCUACCGUCGUCUUUUCUCGUCGUCUAUAUUAAGGUAAGAUGGCGGUAGAUUUAUAAUUACCGACAUAGAUUAUUUUGUUAAACGUCGUUAAGUGUACUACAACCGACGUGGAUUUUAUUUUUAAAUUAUAAAUAGAGUUUUUUUUCCCGAAUUCUUUCAGUUUUAGUUUUCAAUUACAAAGCGUGAUAAAUAGAUUUUUCUUUCCCGAGGAAAUUUAAAAUGAGGAAAAUUACUGUUCUAGAAUUUGUAAACUAACACGACGCAAUAUUACUAACCCGAGGAAAUUAUAAAUAGAUUUUGCUUUCCUGAAGAAAUUUUAAAUUAAUUCAGUUUGAAACAACGACGGGUUUUUGUUAUGCCGUCGUUUUUAACUAACACGACCCAAUAUUUGUUUUGCGACGUGGAAUCUUUUCAUUUAACAUCGUUAGGUUUAAUAUAACCGACGUGGAUUUGAAUUUUUAAAUUAUGAAUAGAAUUUUUUUUCCCGUGACCUUUCAGUUUAUUUUUCAAUUACAGUGCGUUAUAAAUAGAGUUUUUUUUUUCCGGAAGAAAUUUAAAAGGAAGGAAAUUAAUGUUCUGGAAUAUGUAAAGUUUCUUUUUUGGAUGACAGAUUUAAAUAAAAUAAGAAUAUAAAAACAACGACUGUUUUUGUAUUACUGUCGUCGUUUUUCGUCGUCUUAAGUAAGACUAAGACGACGUAAUAUAUUUGUUGAGCGACGUUGAUUUAUUUUUUAAACGUCGUUAGGUAUAAUAUAACCAUCGUUGAAAAUUGUCUCUCUGAUUGCAAAUUUGCAACGACGUUAGGUAUAAUAUUUGUAGAUACACAAACGCACACACAUCAUCAACUUCCAAAAAAUUGUCUCUCUGAUUGCAAAUCUGUGUCAUUUCUUAAGAUUAUGAUGUGGAACAGAGUUCCAUCUGGUAAGAUUUCGUAACCCUUGGGAUCUCAGACAAAUCUGAUUAUGUCGGCGAUUUUCUAUAUAAACCGUCGUGGUUAUUUCAAUUCUUGUCAUUAAGUAGAUCUACCGACGUAGGAUAAGAAAAUCAAAGAAAAAAAUUGUUAACAAAAAUUCUUAUUAAGACGACGGUUUAAAUUAAAGGUACGACGUAUAAAAUGAAUAAAUACGACGUUAAAUUUUAUAGUACGAUUUAAAGAUAACGUCGUAGAACUAUACGAGAAUGACGUCGAUAUAUUUAUAUUUUCCGUCGUUGUACAUUAAUUUAAUACGGCGAUAUUUUGUAUUUUAAAGCCGUGGAUUUGUUUGUAAUUAUACGGCGUCUUAUACGAAAACCUCGUCGUGUUAUUUUAUGAGUAAAAACGGCGGUUUUGAUUGAAAUCGUCAUCUUUAUUGUCUACGUCGGUCGAUUCAUAACUUCUGUCGUUCUUUGUUGGCAUUGAUUUUACACUGCGGAAAUCUGUUUCAAAUAGACGUCGGUUGUUUAAUUAGGUACGUCGUUGUUUUUGAACAGCCAUUUGAAUCUCCAUUUUUUAGUUGUCUAAGGUUGUAUUACACGAUGGUGUUUUUAGAACCGUCGUCUUUUUAAAAACCACGACGGUUUUCACUUAGACCGUCGUUGUUUUCUGGUCGUCUUUUUCACUUUUUGUAGUAGUGUCAGUUAUCAAUACUAUCCUCUCACAAAAGAUUGUUUUUCAAACUAUUGAAUUGCUGGAACUGGAAUCCUUGAUUGGAACAAACCAAACCAAAUCCUCACCUGUAACUUGAUUCCCAAUCCUAAAUCAGCGAACUUUUCCAUUUAUUCUUUUAGAUAAGAUCCAUCCUAUCAUAUUGUGCUGAUAGUACCAAGAAAAGUUUACACAAAACACAACAAAAAUUGAGACCACAAAAUCAAACUCAAUUUCGUUUGCCAGUUCAUCCAUUGAUUUAGACCGAGAUGCAAAAUUUAAGUAGAGACUUGAUUGCCUGUUCAUCCAUUGAUUUAGACCGGGAUGCAAAAGUUAACUAGACUUCAAUGUGUUCCCAACGUCGAUGACAAAUCGGUAUUUGACAUCUGUUUUGACAAGGCGCUCCAUGGCAGUGUUCAAAUAAUCAAUUGGGAUAACCUCAACUUGGGCUGUUACGUUGUGCUUGGCUGCAAAAUCAAUCAUCUCUUGUGUCUCCUUCAUGCCUCCGAUAUUACUACCAGCUACCAUCUUUCUUCCUGUAACAUUUCCAAAGUAAGUGCUUGAAUAAACCAUCAUCCAAUGCAAAAGAAGUGUUAGUGUUUGAAUUCUUAGCUGGGUUUCUAUGGAAGAUUAGAGUAGAGAGGAAAAAAAACAGAGAGAAUAGAGGAAGAUUCAAGCUAUAUGUAUAUUGCUCUACUACUCUCAAAGUCUGAGAGUGAGUGUAUAUUCAGUGUCAAAAUUCACGCACAAAGGCAUGAGUACAUAACCGUUAGCUUUAGCUGUACACACACAAUCAACAAUACAAUCUCAGCCUUACACUUGUCAUGAUCUAGACUAAGUGAAUACACUUAUUUACUCUAACUUUACUUAGCUCACAGCUUAUACACUAAUACUCCCCUUUAAGCUUUGAGCUGAUACAACUCCAAGCUUAUCUCUGAGAUAGUUGAAUCUAUCUUUUGGUAAGGCCUUUGUAAAAAUGUCUGCUACUUGUUCUUUGGUUGGGCAGUAUACCAAAUCAACAAUUCCUUGCUGCAAGGCAUCCUUUAUGAAGUGAUAUCUUCUGUCAAUGUGUUUAGUCCUUUGGUGAAACACUGGAUUUUUAGAUAUUGAGAUUGCAGAUGUAUUGUCACACUGCAAAGGAGUUGCUUCAGCUUGUAACUCUCCAAAAUCUUCAAGAACAAACUUGAGCCAUAUUGCUUGAGUUGUUGCUUCAGCAGCACUUAUAUACUCAGCCUCUGCAGUGGAAAGUGCAACACAAUUCUAUUUCACAGAAGCCUAUGAGAACACUCCACUACCAAAGGAAAACGCAUAGCCUGAGGUACUCUUGCUGUCAUCUACUGAUCCCCCCCAGUCACUAUCACAAAAGCCAACUAAAACUGGCUUCUUGCCUUUCAUAUAAUGCAAAUCAUAGUCCAAUGUUCCUUUGACAUAUCUGAGCACUCUCUUAGCUACCCCAUAGUGCCUGUUAGAAGGUCCAUGCAUAUAUCUAGCUAAUAGGCUAGCUGCAUACAUCACAUCUGGCCUUGUAGCAGUAAGAUACAAUAAGCUGCCUACAAGUUUUCUGUACUUCUCUUCAUCUGCAGCACCACUUUCAUCUUCUUUACUUAACUUUUCAGUAGCCACAAGAGGAAUAGAAACAGAUUUGCAUUCUUUCAAUCCAAACUUAUCCAACAAAGCAGAAGCAUACUUCUUUUGAUGAAUGAAAAUGCUAGAUUCUGUUUGAAUCACCCCCAUUCCCAGAAAAUGAUGAAGAAGACCCAAGUCUGACAUCUCGUACUUCUCCUUCAUAUCUUCUUUGAACUCAUCUAGCAUCUCUUGAUCGUUUCCAGUAUGCACAAUGUCAUCCACAUAGAUGGAGACAAUUAGUAUAUCAUGUUCUCCCCUUGUUUUAGUGUAGAGAGUUGCUUCACUUAAGCUUUUCUCAAACCCACACUUAGCAAAAUAGCUAUCAAUCUCUCCAUACCAGGCCCUAGGUGCCUGUUUCAAGCCAUAAAGCGCCUUGUAUAAUUUGUAAACCUUAUCUUCCUUGCCAUUAAUCACAAACCCUUCAGGUUGAUCAACAUACACUUCUUCCUACAAUAUUCCAUUUAAGAAAGCAGACUUAACAUCUAAUUGAAAUAGCUUCCAGCUUCUUUGUGCAGCAAGAGCAAUCAAUGUUCUGAUUGUAUCCAGUCUAGCAACUAGAGCAAAUGUUUCAUUAUAAUCAAUGCCUGGUUUCUGCACAUACCCUUUAGCAACCAGCCUUGCCUUGUUCUUCUGUACAGAGCCAUCUAAGUUCAACUUGGUUUUGAACACCCAUUUCACACCAAUAACCUGCUUAUCACUUGGUCUGUCUACAAGCUCCCAAGUCUUAUUUUUUUUCAAUCAUGGACAACUCUUCUUCCAUUGCUUUUAUCCAAGCCUUAUCGUGUGCAGCCUCUUCAUAUUUUUCAGGUUCCACAAUGCAGAGAUUGCAUUGUGCUAGAAUGUCAUUUAUGUUUCUCCACUUUAAUGGAGUAUGAUCAUAGGGCUGAGAGAUAUCAGCAUGCUUAUGAAUGGCAUUCUCUUGUUCUUCAGCUUGAGAGAAAAUGCAAGGACUAGAAGGACUUCUCUCGACUUCAGUCAACUCAUGUGGAAUCACUUCAAUUCUAUUUUCAGGUUGCUUUGGAACAUAGGUCAUAGCAACAGAAUUUUCUGAAGUUUCCUUCCAGUUCCAGGACUUGGUUUCAUCAAAAACUACAUCCCUUGACAGAAUCAGCUUCUUAGUGCUUGGAUUAAAUACUCUGUACCCUUUCUCACAGGUUACAUAACCCACAAACACACCUUGGACAGAUUUUGCAUCAAGCUUUUGUCUUCUUUCAGCUGGUACAUGCACAUAACAGAGUGAUCCAAACACCUUUAAGUAACCAAUUCCUGGUUUUCUCCCACUAUAAGCUUCAAAAGGAGUCAUGUUAUCAAGGGCUUUUGUAGGUGAUCUGUUUAGAAUAUAGACAGCUGUAUGUACAGCUUCUACCCAGAGAAAGUAUGGCAUGCCUUUAUCAUGAAGCAUUGCCUUAGCCAUCUCUACAACUGUUCUAUUCUUUCUCUCCACUACUUCAUUUUGCUGUGGAGUAGAAGCAAUGGAUAACUGUCUUUGUAUGCCUUCAGAUUCCAACAACUUGCUGAAUUCAGUUGAGAGAAAUUCUCCCCCUCUGUCACUCCUUAGGCAUUUCACUUUGAAUCCACAUUGUAACUCCACCAUUGCCUUGAACUUUCUGAAACAGAUUAGUGCCUCAGACUUGUGUCUUAGGAAAUAAACCCAUGACAUUCUUGUGUGAUCAUCAAUAAGCAACAUGAAAUAUUUAUUCCCAGCAAUUGAUUCAUUUUGCAUGGGACCACACAAAUCUGUGUGUAUCAAUUCUAGGGGAUUCUUAGCUCUCCAAGCUUGUCCUUUUGGAAACCAAUCUCUGUGUUGUUUUCCCAUUUGACAUCUUCAAGAUGUGGAAGACCAUGCACCAUUUCCUUUUCUCUAAGCUGCUUGAGGCUUCUAAGAUUUAGGUGUCCUAGUCUCUUGUGCCAAAUCCAGGUACAUUCAAUCACACUAGCCUUCAAUGCAAUUUGAUCAGCUUGCAUUGGAGACAGAGGGUAGCAUCUGUUACUUUUCAUCUUAACCUUGAUAACUAGACAAUCAAGUGAAGGACCAUUAAAGAUACAACACUCUCUUCCACCAAAUAGCAAAUAAUAUCCAUGUUCAUCCAUCUGUCCCACACUCAACAAAUUUUCCUUCAAACCAGGUAGAAACAUGACUUCCUUGAUACACUUUCUGCCAGAAUUUGUAUCAAUCAUAAGUGAACCUAUUCCAGCAACAUCUACUAGAUUUCCAGUGGGCAUUUGUACUUUUCUAGUGACAUUUGUCCUUACAUCCACAAGAAGCUCAGCAUUUCCAGUCAUGUGGUUGCUACAACCACUAUCAAUGUACCAAUUCCCACUCACUUUGACCUCAGUAAUUGCACUGUUAGCAUAGAACAGAUUUCCUGUCACUUCUGCCUGAUUAGCACAGUUUGCCUUCUGAACAACCUUGCCUGUUGUGCAUUCUCUAGCCCAAUGUCCAAACCUAUCACAGUUGUGACAUUUGGAUUGCCCCUUGUAUCGACAUUCUCCAAAAUGAAACUUAGAGCACACCCUGCAUUGUGGCUUAACUGUAUCUUGUUUCAUGAAUCCUGCAGAGGUUGAAUUCUGUGCAGGAUUAGCAAAUGACUUUUGCUGGGACUGAGGCUUUGAAUCCCACUUCUUGCCCUUUCCAUUCCAGUUUUUCUUAGAUCCACUUGACUAAGAAUUACCCUUAUGUUGCUGACCUUUUGGACUCACAGAAAAAGAGCCAAAAGCCUUAUCAGUGGCAUCAACAGUGUGCAUAUCAAAUCGUUGUUCCUGGCUCUUAAGAAUUGCCAGAACCUCCUGUAAUUCAACCUUGUCUAUACACUUCGUAUUCUCAAUCACAAGACAGAUGGGAUCAUAAGGUUUGCUAAGACUUAUUAAAACCUUUUGCACAAGCCUUUCGUUAGGCAAUACCUCACCAAACGUCUUCAUUUGGUUAUUUAGUUCAUUCAACCAUGUAAGAUACUCAGAUAACGUUUCAUCAUCACGCAUCCUAGUAUACUCAAAUUCACGUCGAAGAUUUUGGAGUUUAACUGAUCGUACCUGAUCACCACCAUGAUAUUCACCAUAUAGCAGAUCCCAUGCCAUCUUUACUGUAUCAGCAUUGGCAAUUCGAGGGAAUAUUUGAUCCGAGACUGUAUUCUGGAUAAUACCCAGAGCUUUCGCAUCUCGCAUGUGUUCUGCCACAGUUUUCUCAUCGUCUUCCUCUUUUGCGCUUCCUUCAGCCAUCUUCUUCUUUGAAUCAGAGAUCGUAACCCCCUUUUCAACUAAUUUCCAUAACCCCUGAGAUUUAAAGAUUGUCACCAUCUUGAUUCUCCAGAACUCGUAGUUCUCACCGGAGAAGAUCGGAGUUCUCACCUCAGAACCUCCAGAUCCAGCCAUAUCUAGGCUUAGACGAUACGAAUCUCAAAAUCAAAAUAAAAAACGAUGGGGUUCAGCGAUUUCACCUGAACCAGAACGAGCUUGAGUGCAGCUCGAUUGCAGCAACGUCGCACAGUCUACGCCCAGAUUUCAGAUCGAACCUGGCUCUGAGGCCAUGUUAGUGUUUGAAUUCUUAGCUGGGUUUCUAUGGAAGAUUAGAGUAGAGAGGAAAAAAACAGAGAGAAUAGAGGAAGAUUCAAGCUAUAUGUAUAUUGCUCUACUACUCUCAAAGUCUGAGAGUGAGUAUAUAUUCAGUGUCAAAAUUCACGCACAAAGGCAUGAGUACAUAACCGUUAGCUUUAGCUGUACACACACAAUCAACAAUACAAUCUCAGCCUUACACUUGUCAUGAUCUAGACUAAGUGAAUACACAAUUUAAAACAAGGCUUAUUUACUCUAACUUUACUUAGCUCACAGCUUAUACACUAAUAAGAAGUGAGUUAUGUGAUAGGCUUACCCAUUAGCAAAGGAAAAACUGGAAGCUCAAGGGGUUUCUCUGGUGCACCAACCAUAACAAGCUUUCCAUUAGACUUCAACAAAGCAAUUAAAGGCAAGAGAGGGUGGACUGCUGAAACCGUAUCGAUAAUGCCAUCCAUUGUGCCCACGACUGCCUACCAAAUUAGCAGGACAAAAGAUUAAUUAGAUCAUAAUCUAGUUAAAUUCAUGAUCAAUGCUACUUGUUGAAGUAAUCACCUGCUUCUGAUCUUGAUCACGGCUGACCAAAAACGAAUCGGCACGAAGAUGUUCAAUAGCUUCCUUCUUCUUAUUAGGGGAGGUACUUAUUAUUAUAACCCUAACCCCCAUAGCCUUGGCAAACUUCACUGCCACAUGUCCAAGACCACCUAGACCAACCACACCCACAUGCAUACCGGGUUUGUCAAGACCAUAAUAUCUCAAUGCGCUGUAGGUUGUGAUUCCUGCGCAUAGAAGAGGGGCAGCACCAUCAAGAGGAAGAUUGUCCGAAACACGAAUUACGAAGUGCUCAUCGGCCACCAUGAAGUCAGAGUAACCUCCAUAUGUGAUGGUUCCGUCAUGGUACUUGGCACCGUAGGUGAGUAUAUACUUGGGGCAGUAAUUCUCAAUAUUGUUUGCACAAUUAUCACAAGAUUGGCAGGAUCCUACCACGCACCCAACUCCUACCUUGUCCCCAACUUUGAAUUUUUCUACUUUGCUCCCUACCUCUGUCACUACACCAACAAUCUCAUGCCUACAUUGCCCAAUUGAGUGUGCAUGCAUUUCAUUAGUUAAGUUAAUCAAGAACUUAAUUCAUAGCAUUAGUCCAAUUCAAGAACAAAUCAUCUCAGUCCCGGUGAAAGGACCCGCUCUGAAUUUUCUCAAAACCCGAGACGAACCCUUUGGAAUUCCUGACAUCACCCCGAUGCCAGGCCCACUUACUAAAAACCGAGACUUCCUGCCGAAAUUUCGGCAGAGUCUCCCCUAUAAAUUGGGCAUUUCCCAAAAUUUCAACCUGCAUAAAAACGCAUUCAAUAUCCACAACUGGCAGCAUGCACAAUAUAAUUUCAUGCAAUUCACACAAAUGGCCUUCGGCCUUCCAAUAAUUCUCCAACAACUACCAAACAAUUCAAAUACAAAAUAUGACUAAUAUUUAGUCUGCGGCUGCACCUAAUAACCUCAGGCUGCCUACGUACCCUCCUUGAGGGAUUAAGCCACACGUAGUUCUUCCCUAAAACCCAAUUCCACACUUGGGCGAUACCUUAUUUCAUUUCUCUGUAUUUCACAUAUUCUCCCCAUACGCCGGUACAACCAACGCCACGUAUGGGGCCUGUCAACACGCCGGAUAACCUACGCCACGUGCGACCAUGCCAUACUAUCAUAAUAUCUCCCCAUACGCCAGUACAACCAACGCCACGUAUGGGGCCUGUCCCAACGCCGGAUAACCUACGCCACGUGGGACCUCAAUAUCAUAUCACAAAUCUCCCCAUACGCCGGUACAACCAACGCCACGUAUGGGGUCUGUCGACACGCCGGAUAACCUGCGCCACGUGCGACCUCAACACAAUAUCACAUAAUCUCCCCGUACGCCGGUACAACCAACGCCACGUACGGGGCCUGUCUCAACGCCGGAUAACCUACACCACGUGAGACCUGAACAUCAUAUUACAAAUCUCCCCAUACGCUGGUACAACCAACGCCACGUAUGGGGCCUGUCCCAACGCCGGAUAACCUACGCCACGUGGGACCUAACUUUCACUUGGUGGUACUUGUAGAAAUUCCAAAAUUCGGGGAGAUACCUACAGUAGUGCGUAUAGCACUCCAAACUGACAUUCUAGACUCAGUUGUACCCUUGUACAACCAUACAUAAUUAUAAUCAUAAAAAUUAAUUCUAAUAUUGUGUAACCCUCCACAAUCAUCUAGUACUCGAUAAUCUCCCCUAGAAAGGUGAGAUUACCCCGGGAGACUCACAGUCAACCAAGAGUCAAACUUCUCUAACCCUGGUCAAACAGACCUGCGGAACCCACGACCUCCAAUUUCCGAUCCGAAGGUCCCUAUGGGUUCUACCAGGUAUAGGACACUUGUCCUGCAAGUUUGGUUCAGAUCGAACGGUCGGAUUGCUCACGAUCGCACGAUCUGACAAUUAAUAUAAAAUACAAACUUUAAAAUUAUUAUUCGGAACAUCCGGGGCUCCGAUUCACAAUCCGUGAAUUCCUAUCGAACCCGGAUAACGCAUAAUAUGCGAUUAUCCGUUCGAUAGUCAAACAACGUCCGAAUUGAGAUCCACGAAAUCCUACGCACUCGUGACAACCUAAGGAUCUUAUCGGAAUACAUCGCUACUUUUUCUACAGUGCCCACGCGCCGCCGCACGCGCCGGCAGCGCGUGGGUGCCCAAAGCGAUAACGCUUCACCGGAAAAUCUCAAAACCACGGCUCCAAACUCCUACCCUAGGUAUAACACCCUAUUUGGAGCCACUUUUGUUCUUGGACCUACCCCAAAAAGUGGCCGAAAAUGGCAGAUCACGGCGGCCGAAGUUUCGGCCGAUUUUCAAUUCGAAAAUCGAGUUGUCUACGCUAAGAAUCGAUCUAAUCCUACCCAACCAUCAGCUAGAGCAGCUUGAGCGGUUCAAAAUCCAUACCUGGGUCGACGGAAUUGGUGGCCGGAGGAGGGAGAUCAACGGCGUUGAAGUUCCGGCGACAUCCGGGCGAAAAUCGCCAUUUUCCGGCGGCUGGGGUCGUGACGCCGAGGUCGAGCCAAUUCUUUUGACACCGGCCUCGUCCGCAGCCGCGGCCGAUGGCUGGAGUUACGAAGAGAGAGAGAGGAGAGGCCGACGGGAGAGAGAGAGAGGAGUCGCGGGAGAGAGAGAGAGAGAGAGAGAGAGAGAGAGAAAUCUGAGUUUUUAUAAAAAAUCCCAUUUCGAAAUAUUUACGAUUGUGCCACUGGGUUUCUUUUGACCAUAUCUCUCUCGUUACAACUCCGAUUCGAGCCCACUACGUGUCUAUGAACUCGUCUCAGUACGACCUAUCCAAAAAUAUAAGUCACGGUCCCAAACUCUCUCCGGUUAAAAAUAUGACUAAAAUACCCUUAAAUAAUUAAAUAAUUAAAUGAGGGUAAAAUUUGGGAAAAUUUGGGGUCGGGGUGUUACACCCGGCAGCUGCCAGUAUGUCAUUCUAUCACAACCAAACAUUCCCUGUCCCACCCGAGAGUGGCCAUGGGCCUCGCUUGGUUGUGUGGGUGGCCGAUGCCGGACCAAAAGAAUUUCUCUAAGUAUAACAUUGUUAAAAUUGAUAGAAAAUGAAUGUAAUUUUUUGUUAAAAGUUUGUAUAUGUUUAGUAUAAUGGAUGGUAUAUGACUACAUACCCGGGAACCAGAGGAUGGGUGGAAAAACCCCAGUCAUUCUUAACCAUGUGAAGAUCAGUAUGGCAUAUACCACAGUAUAACACUUUGAAUGCCACAUCUUUCUCUCCUGUUUCUCUACAACCAAAUCAGUUCAAUUUUAGACAACAAAUCUAAAACUGAGAUCCUGGAAAGCAAGAACUACCAACUAAAUCAUAAAAAAAGAAAACAAGAAACCAGAAACUUGUGUACUUAAUCAUAAAAAAAAAAAAAAGCAGACAAAUCCAAGAUGAAGUGAAAAUGUAAAUCAAAGAAACAAUAAUCGGAUCUAGUAGCAGAGUUAAUAAUAUAUGUACCUUCUUGAAAAAUUAAAGGGAGAGAGAACACCAGAUGAGUCUCUAGCAGUCCAUCCAAAUGCCUUCUUGGGGUGUUCAUGCUCUUGAGAUUUCACCAUUUUUUCUUUUCAAACUUCAAACACAAAUCGACUGAUAGCAGAGUGAGAGUUUGUGAAAGUAGCAAUUUACAAGUGGCACUAUGAGACUUCAUGCAUGUAUAUGUAAAGAUGAUGUGGCAACAGGUUUGGUGCUGAGCUGACGCAUCGGGUGAGCAAAGGGCAGAGAGGGAAUCUUUCUUUGCUGACCAGAAAAUUUUCUUGCAAAAGUACACGGUAGUCUUCGCAGUGCCUCUAAAAUCUCUCGUAUUCUUUAUAAAAAGCUUGACUCCUUCAAAAUGAGGUGCUCGUUCUAAAAAUAAAUGGAAUUUUGCCAUUUAUUAAUUUCUUUUUCUAAAAUAAAUGCUGCUCUUUUCAUUUCUAUUUUAUUUUCCCACCUACUGUAUUUCUUAACUACUAUAUCAAUUUGAAACAACACAAUUCUAUAUUUUCACCUAUCAUUAUUUCUAAAAUAUGCUUUAAUUAGAUUCACUAUUAUACCCAAUAUAGGAGCCCAAAUUAUUAAAAAAAACCCUAUAUGAAAUAAAUUUUAUAACACACCCAAAACUCAUUUACAAUAAACAAAAAGGCUUUUAACUUCUUUUAAAUUAUAAAACUACCAUUGAUUUCUUAAAACAAACUCAACUCCAAAACUUCAUAAAAAGCCCAACACUCAAUGGGACAUCAAAGUAAUUUAAUAAUCAAAAUUAAAUUCAAUUGGGCCACCUAUCAUUUUUUGGGUUUGUUUAUAGAAAUUAAAUGGUGUAGGGUUUAUCUAUAAUAUUAGUGUUAAGAAUGGGUAUAUGACUAAAUAUCUCUUAUUUUUUAAACCUUUAAUUAUUAAUUCAAGCAUUUUCUAUUUCCUAAAAUAAUUUUAUUUGAUAAAAGUUCAGUAGUGGAAGUGAAGGUGGUGGUGAAAGAGAUGAAGGUGAAGGUGGCAGUGAUAGUGGAAGUGGUUGUGGGUGGUGAUGAAGCUAGAGGGGGUGGUUGUGGUAGUGAUGGUGGUGGAGAUGGUGGUUAUAGAGGUGAAGGUGGUAGCGGUGGCGGCGUGGUGGUGUAGGUGGAGGUGGAGGUGGAGGUGGUGGAGGAGGAGGAGCAUGUGGUGGUGGCGUUUGGUGGUAGUGGUAGUGGAGGUGGUGAAGUUGCAUGUGGAGGUGGAGGUAGUGUCACUUAAAAACAAUUAUGAUGGUAUUUUGGGAAUUAAAAUAAUUCAUUAAAGACUUAUCUCUGCUUCUUUUGAAAGCUGCUGUCAAAAGGCCACUACUUAAAAAAUAAUCGAGAUAUUUUAUUUUUACCAAACACCUUAAAUUGCUUCACUUUAAAGUGAAGCAGAUUUUUGGCAAUUAAAAGCAAUCCUAAACGAGGCCUUACACUUUCUUCUUUUUUUCUUUUUUUCUUUUUGUCAAAUGGUAAAAUAGGUGGGUUACGCGAGUUUAGGUUUUUGGAUUAAGUCCUUAGAAGUCAUUUUACAAAGGAAUAAAUUUGUCUUUAAAUUUUUUAAGAUUAGAUGGGUGAGGAAAUAUGACAGGUAAGUGGAAAUGGCAACACUCUUCUAAAAUUCUUAUAACUUUUUUUUUUUUUGUUUUAGAAUUUCGUAAGUGUCAAAAUCUUAUUUGCUUUGAGGAGAGUCAAACUUUACUCUUAAUUUUCUCUUGAC